rnacentral:lncRNA from 1 species
AUCGAUCUUCCAGAUUAAGUUUUAAUCUCAUCAGUUAUUCCACAUUAACUGAUAUUUAUUGAGCCGUCACUCCAUAAUUGACGUAUCUCUUUAUUUAUUCGUUUUCCCUAAUAUUACAUAUUACAANCAGGUAAUGUCGCCAGAGCUUCAGAGCGAACACAACUGCUCCUAGUUCGANNNNNNNNNNNNNNNNNNNNNNNNNNNNNNNNNNNNNNNNNNNNNNNNNNNNNNNNNNNNNNNNNNNNNNNNNNNNNNNNNNNNNNNNNNNNNNNNNNNNCCAUUAUCUUCAGAUCUGAUGACAUAGUCUUCAAAAUGAUGAGCCUAAACUUCGUAAUCCUGGGUGUAUAGAAUAGGAAUCUUUGUCAUUGAUCCAAUGUUGUUUGAGAUGUUGAUAGGAUUAGAUUGAGAAUCAUCCAUGCUUGAUCGUUUAACCUGUUUGAAAGAUCAGACUUGUAAUAUGUAAUAUUAGGGAAAACGAAUAAAUAAAGAGAUACGUCAAUUAUGGAGUGACGGCUCAAUAAAUAUCAGUUAAUNAAUGUGAUGAGAUUAAAACUUAAUCUGGAAGAUCGAUUAGAUCUUAAACAGGUAAAUAAAUAUUAAACAGCAAGAACGAACGCAAAAUAAAGAACAACUCAAGGAUGAAUCAAACGUGUCGAAUGAUUAUAAAAUAAACCCUCAGAAGAGCUCGAUCAAGAACAUCAACUGUAGAGGGUUGGAGAUUUACAAUAACGAUAAAGAAAUCUGUAAUACUAUCGUAAUAAUCGUUACUUCUUAAUCCUUGACCUAGUAUGCAUGCAAGCAUAUCUUUAUAUAGUAAACCUAGCAAACUCACGGUUGGACAGGCCCAAAACCGGAGUACAAAACAAAUGGACUAACAGCCGAGCCCAAUGACGCAAUCUUCAAACGAGUCUUCAACUCAACAAUCUCCCCCUUUGCGUCAAUUGGAGCGAGAUCUUCACUUUUUACUUGGGCCAGCAGCAGCACCAGGUACCUUCUUCUUCACGGUCUCAAACAGACGAGAUAUCAGAGCAAGUAUCGUCUGCCUGAAUCUGAUGUACCAUUGGAUCAUGUCGUUGAAGUACUUGACAUCGUCUGCUGCAUUCUCCUUACACCUUCGGAUGAUCGACAAAACAUGCUCAAGGCAAGUAUUGGUGUAAAGAUGUUUAUCCGCCAAAGCAAAGAGACAUUUCUGUCCUUCUGCUCUAGUGAACAUGACCGAAUUACGUCUCGGAUCGAUCUUGCCCAUCUUCAUUUGAUUGAGAUCACUGGCCGAUCCCACAGGAGCUAUCUUCGGUUUCUUCUUGAAGACUGUGGCUAUCUCCUGAUCCAUAAGGGCAACCUCCAUGAUGUAACAAACAAUCAUCCUCUUGAGAUGGUCUAUAAUAGGACCAUAUUCUGCUUCGUUCGUCAAAAGGAUGUUGUGCAAAAUGAUCCAAUCAUGAGAGUUUAAGUUCAGUAGAUCUUGCCCAUUUUCAUUUGAUUGAGAUCACUGGCCAAUCCCACNNNNNNNNNNNNNNNNNNNNNNNNNNNNNNNNNNNNNNNNNNNNNNNNNNNNNNNNNNNNNNNNNNNNNNNNNNNNNNNNNNNNNNNNNNNNNNNNNNNNCUUUAUGCUAACAUCACUCAACUACAUCUGAAUUGUGAAAUAGGGAAGAAAAUUCAUCGCAUGAUAUUUCCCUUCCUUGAGUUUAAGGAGGAUGAAAUCGAUGCUGAAGCAUAUAACUGCAAAAGUGUUGUAUCGUCUGAUGAUGUGAAUCCCACUUACAUGUAUGGUCUGGACAAAAUAGAAUCUUUCAUAAAGUCCAAGGACCAUAAGGACAUGCUGAAAAACCUUUUGGAUGAAAACNAUAAGCUGAAACUAAGGACCGAAACCAUACAAAAAUUCGACUCAUUGAGUGCUAAUUUAAGUUCAGAAAAUAAAAUUGAUGUUGAAAACGCAUCGGAACUUAAUGAGGACAAUGAUAUGAGUGAAAUUUCUGUAGAUGAUGUAGUCGACUAUUCUGAGUUUGUCAAGAGCGAACCCGAAAACCACAAAAAUCUUAUUUCUGAAAAUUUUGUGGAGUUCGCUCGUCUGUCCCAAAAUAAGUCCCCGAUUCUUGAAGAAAAGGCUGUUGUAUACCAAAAGGUGAGAACAACACCAAAUCAGGUGUACAAGGUCACAGGAGUAACCGAGCAUCAAACAGCCGAACUCACUGCCAUAGUGAACGAAGAUAACGCAGAUGGCUGUGAUGAGUUCUUUUGGUCUGCUCCUAUAGAUAAUGCCGACGAAACUGUUGGUUUGUCAGAGCGAACGUCCUGGAAAACAAAAGGAAGAUAUGUACCAGAGCCGCUGAACAAGCCUGACAACUUUGACGUGCCAAGCACAAGUGGUACAAAAGAAAUACCUGUAGAAGAAGUCACUUCCACAAGCGAAACAUCAUCUGUGAAAAGUGAACCGGCUGACAAGAAGCUGAAACAAAAGGCCAACAUCCACAGACAGCCGAAACAAGUGAAAGAUCAAAAGCAGCAAAGAAACCUAAGAUACAAAAAGAAUCUCUCUGAGCGAAAGCAGUUUUGGCGCUCUCAAAACAAUCAUUUCUCUUAUCAUGAUAGAAAUUCAAAGUCAGAGAAAAAGGCUUUCGGGCCACAUGAGGAACAUAACCGAAAGGACAGGUUCGGUUCAGAGAGCAACAUCAACCGAAAGGACAGGUUCGGUUCAAAUAGCAACCGAAAGGAUAGGUUCGGUCCCAAAAACAAUAGCUACCGAACGUCCAGGUUCGGUCCCUUCAAUGACAAAAAACAAAAGGGUCAUAUCGAACCGCAAGUCAGAAGAAAUUCCCAUUCUAAUUCUUCUAUUUCUCAAUUCUAUUCUAAACCCUAUUCUGUUCGUGCACAAAAUUCUAAAUCAUCAACGAACCAGAAAGGAAAAUCGAAGAUUUCGUCUGUCUAGGAAGACCGAAAGCAGUCUAAAGCCCAAACUCCAAAACCUGAAACCAAACCCACUGUUGCUAAUCCUAACAAAAUAAAAGUGAAAGGCUCACGUGGACCCAACGGGUUCCUAAAUCUGCUUAAUUUUUGCAGGUUAUAAGAGACGAGCAGUUCGACGAAGAAUGGUACAUUGACAGUGGCUGCUCACGUCAUAUGACAGGAAGGAAAGAAGAGCUAAGAGAAUUUUGAUCUCUUCAGAAUGGUGGGAAUUUCAAAUUUGGCAACAAUUCUUAUGGAACGAUAAAGGGAUAUAGGAUGAUAACCAAUGGAUUCUUCACAAUAAGAAAGGUGGCGUAUGUUGAAGGUCUACAUCAUAAUCUCAUUUCUAACCCAACUGACCAAAUAAUCAAGGUGUCUUCGAAGAGUGAGGAGCGAAGGAUGUGGAUAGAGCAAAAAGAGUCGGAGCUGAUAAAGUCUAAGGAUGAAAUCAUUUAUUUACAAAGAGACAAUUUAAAACUUUUAAAACAGAGAAAUGUUUUUUGUUUGAUUGCUAAACGACUUUAUGCUAACAUCACUCAACUACAUCUGAAUUGUGAAAUAGGGCAGAAAAUUCAUCGCAUGAUUUUGCCCUUCCUUGAGUUUAAGGAGGAUGAAAUCGAUGCUGAAGCAUAUAACUGCGAAAGUGUUGUAUCGUCUGAUGAUGUGAAUCCCACUUACAUGUAUGGUCUGGACAAAAUAGAAUCUUUCAUAAAGUCCAAGGACCAUAAGGACAUGCUGAAAAACCUUUUGGAUGAAAACGAUAAGCUGAAACUAAGGACCAAAACCAUACAAAAAUUUGACUCAUUGAAUGCCAAUUUAAGUUCAGAAAAUAAAAUUGAUGUUGAAAACGCAUCUGAACUUAAUGAGGACGAUGAUAUGAGUGAAAUUUCUGUAGAGGAUGUAGUCGACUGUUCUGAGUUUGUCAAGAGCGAACCCGAAAACCACAAAAAUCUUAUUUCUGAAAAUUCUGUGGAGUUCGCUCGUUUGUCCCAAAAUAAGUCCCCGAUUCUUGAAGAAAAGGCUGUUGUGUACCAAAAGGUGAGAACAACACCAAAUCAGGUGUAUAAGGUCACAGGAGUAACCGAGCAUCAAACAGCCGAACUCACUGCCAUAGUGAAUGAAGAUAACGCAGAUGGCUGUGAUGAGUUUUUCUGGUCUGCUCCUAUAGAUAAUGCCAACGAAACUGUUGGUCUGUCAGAGCGGACGUCCUGGAAAACCAAAGGCAGAUAUGUACCAGAGCCACUGAACAAGCCUGACAACUUCGACGUGCCAAGCACUAGUGGUACAAAAGAAGUUCCUGUAGAAGAAGUCACUUCCACAAGCGAAACAUCAUCUGUGAAAAGUGAACCGGCUGACAAGAAGCAGAAGCAAAAGGCUAACAUCCACAAACAGCCAAAACAAGUGAAAGAUCAAAAGCAGCAGAGGAAUCUGAGAUACAAAAAGAACCUCUCAGAGCGAAAGCAGUUUUGGCGAUCUCAAAACGCCCAUUUCUCCUAUCACGAUAAGAAUUCAAAGCAAGAGAAAAAGGAUUUCAGGCCACAUGAGGAACAUAACCGAAAGGACAGGUUCGGUUCAGAGAGCAACAACAACCGAAAGGACAGGUUCGGUUCAAACAGCAACCGAAAGGACAGGUUCGGUCCCGAAAGCAAUAGCUACCGAACGUCCAGGUUCGGUCCCUCCAAUGACCAAAAACAAAAGGGUCAUAUCGAACCGCAAGUCAGAAGAAAUUCCCAUUCUAAUUCUUCUAGUUCUCAAUUCUCUUCUAAACCCAAUUCUGUUCCUGCACAAAAUUCUAAAUCGUCAACGAACCUGAAAGGAAAAUCGAAGAUUUCCUCUGUCCAGGAAGACCGAAAGCAGUCUAAAGCCCAAACACCAAAACCUGAAACCAAACCCACUGUUGCUAAUCCUAACAAAAUCAAAGUGUUUACCAUUAAAAGAAAAGAUGAAACAACAUUAAUAAAAAGAACAUAUCUUAUUGAUGUUUCUCUUACUAUUCCUGUUCCUGUGAAAGGCUCACGUGGACCCAAGAAACUUUGGGUUCCUAAAUCUGCUUAAUUUUUGCAGGUUAUAAGUGACGAGCAGUUCGACGAAGAAUGGUACAUUGACAGUGGCUGCUCACGUCACAUGACAGGGAGGAAGGAGGAGCUAAGGGAGUUUCGAUCUCUUCAGAAUGGUGGGAAUGUCAAAUUCGGCAACAACUCCUAUGGAACAAUAAAGGGUUAUGGGAUGAUAACCAAUGGAGACUUCACAAUAAGAAAGGUGGCAUAUGUUGAAGGUCUACAGCAUAAUCUCAUCAGUGUGUCUCAACUGGUAGGAGGCACCGGUCUCAAAGUUUCAUUUGAUGAUGAAGGUUCAGAAAUCAUAGAGAAGAAAUCAAAAAGGGUAAUUCUCAAAUCAGAACGCAAAGGCGAAAUGUUUCCUCUCAAUCUCAAACCAAUCAAAGGAAAUCCAGCUAUAUGCCUAUUAUCCAAAGCUCAUUCUGACGAAAGCUGGUUGUGGCACCGAAGGCUCUCACAUCUCAACUUCAAAGACAUCAACAAGCUUGUCACAGGAGGUCAUGUUCGGGGUCUCCCAUUGCUCAAGUUUGAUCGAGAACAUUUGUGUGCUGCGUGUGAAAUGGGGAAGCAAAGUCGUCAAAGUCACCCAUCCAUUAUAAACACAAAAGUUGUUGAACCACUUGAGUUGCUUCACAUUGACUUGUGUGGUCCAUCAUCUAUCGAAAGCAUUGGCGGUAGCAAGUAUAUUCUUGUUAUUGUUGAUGAUUUCUCACGUUUUACAUGGGUAUUCUUUCUGAAGCACAAAUCUGAGGCUACUCCUAAGCUAAAGAUGUUUAUUAAGCAGGUUGAAGUGCAACUGAGAAAAGUCGUUCGCAACAUCAGGAGCGAUAAUGGACUGGAGUUCAAGAACAAAGAAUUUGAAGACUUUUUGGCAGAAAAAGGAACCAGUCACAACUUCUCAGCUCCCUAUACGCCUCAACAGAACGGAAUUGUCGAAAGACGAAACCGAUCCUUGUGUGAGGCGGCCCGAACGAUGCUAAGUUUCGCUUCUCUUCCGUUAUAUUUCUGGGCUGAUGCUAUUGCUGCAGCAUGUUUCACACAGAACCGGUCUUAUCUCAACAAGCGUUUCUCUCUUACUCCUUAUGAGAUCAUCAAUAACAGGAAGCCGAACGUAAAAUUCUUCCAUGUGUUCGGCUCACGAUGCUUCAUCUUCAACUCCAAAGAACAUCGUAACAAGUUUGACGUUAAAGCUGAUGAAGGAAUUUUUCUGGGAUAUUCUCUUACUUCAAAAGCUUACCGGGUCUUAAAUAAGCGCUCUAGGAAGAUCGAAGAAACAUAUUAUGUGACUUUCGAUGAUAACUACGUCAAAAAGCUAAAGGCUACUGAAGAAGCAAUUGGAGAGAUUUUUACUCAAACUGGUCAAGUUACGGCUUCGAUUGCUAAUCUGUUCGAUCAGUUUGUGGAACUAUUCGAUGAACCUGAGAAAGCUACUCUCUCGGAGGCCAAGUCAGCAGAUAACAAGGUCGACCAUCUGAAGCAAAUUGUCGAAGAAGCAGCCAAACGAAUGGGUGAAGGAGAACAAGUUCCAAACGAACCUCCUGAGCAAGGUGCUUCAGUUGAGGGGGAGAAUCCACCUUCUUCAAAACAACCGAGCUCACAAAUUGAGGGGGAGAAUUCUAUUCCAGUUCCACCCGAAAGCUCAACUGCACCCGAAAGCUCUUCAGCACCCGAAAGCUCGACAACACCAGAAAGUCCUGCUACACCUGAAAGCUCAUCAGUCGACGGGGAGAACUCCGAUAUGUUCUACGACGACAAUAGUCAAUCUGAAUUGGAAGAAAUGGUCAACGCUGAAUUAGAUCCAUCCUAUGAUCCAAAUUACCCUCCUCUUGUUAAAUGGACCAGAGAUCAUCCUGUAUCUCAGAUAGUGGGUAAUGUCUCUGAAAAGGUCCUCACCCGAUCUCAACUGAAGGCAAAGCAAACAUCUCUAUUCUCCAAAGUAGAGUUCUGCAUGUAUAAUUCUUUCGUAUCAAAAGUUGAACCGAAGACAGUAAAUACUGCUCUUGAUCAUUCUGACUGGGUUCAAGCUAUGCAAGAUGAACUCAACGAGUUCGAAAGAAACAAAGUAUGGCGCCUCAUUCCAACUCCUAAAGAUGCCUCAGUUGUUGGUCUCAAAUGGGUGUUCAGAAAUAAAAUGGACAAGGAAGGCAAUGUGAUUCGAAACAAAGCUCGUCUCGUGGUGAAAGGAUACUGCCAGGAGGAAGGAAUUGAUUAUGAGGAAACUUUUGCUCCGGUAGCGAGGCUGGAAUCUGUUCGAAUAUUUCUGGCCUAUGCUGCACACAAGAACUUCGAGGUCUACCAAAUGGACGUGAAAUGCGCCUUUCUGAAUGGAGAACUUGAAGAAACGGUUUACGUGGAGCAACCUCCUGGUUUUGUCAAUGAAAAGUACCCAAAUCACUGUUAUAUUCUGGACAAGGCAGUUUACGGUCUGAAACAAGCACCUAGGGCAUGGUAUGAAACGCUAACCAAGUUUUUAAAGAUGUCAAAAUUCAAACAAGGUUCGGUUGACCCAACCUUCUUUCGUAAGAAGGAAGGUAACCACCUUAUGAUUGUUCAAAUCUAUGUCGAUGAUAUCAUCUUUGGCUCAACGAAUCCUAGCUUAACAGCUGAAUUCAGAAAGCUGAUGGAGACUAAAUUUGAAAUGAGCUCAAUGGGUCCGAUUAACUUUUUCCUUGGUUUAAAUAUUAGACAGGGACCCGAAGGCAUCUUUAUCAACCAGGAAGCUUACACCAAGACUCUUCUUGCUAAAUUUGGCAUGAUGGGAGACUCAAAGGUUAAAGUUCCAAUGGCAUUCGGCACCAAGCUCACACCAUCCUUGGAAAAACCGGCAGUCGAUAUUACGUUAUAUCGCCAGAUGAUUGGUUCUUUGAUGUACCUCACUGCUAGCAGGCCUGAUAUAAUGUUUUCUGUGUGUUAUUGUGCUAGAUUUCAGGCGAAUCCUCGUGAACCACAUAUGCUUGCAGUGAAAAACAUACUUCGGUAUCUGAAACGAACCACCUCUCUCGGUUUAUGGUAUCCAUCAAACACAGGUUUCUUCAUUCAAGCCUACUCAGAUGCAGACCUUGGAGGUUGUGGUUUAGACAGGAAAAGCACCACUAGAGGUUGCCAAUUACUAGACGGGAAGUUGGUUAGCUGGCAAUCAAAGAAACAGAAAUGUGUUUCACUGUCUACAGCCGAAGCAGAGUACAUCGCACCAGCUUCCUGUACAUCUCAAGUGAUUUGGAUCCAAAGCCAGCUCCGGGACUAUGGACUCAACAUGAAAAAGAUCCCACUAUAUUGCGAUUCAGAAAGUGCAAUUAGGAUCUGUCAUAACCCAGUGCAACAUUCCAAGACAAAGCAUAUAGCACUGAGGUAUCACUUUAUUAAGGAUCAUGUGGAAGAUGGGAACGUCGAAAUUCACUUUGUUCGAACCACUGAUCAACUGGCUGACAUCUUCACCAAAGCUCUUCCUGAAGCAUCUUUCAAUAAAAUUCUAUAAGGGCUAGGAAUGAUGGAUUCGGAGUCAUUACCAAAGACUACUUCUCAAAAUUAAAAGUUGGAUGCGAAAUAGACCGAAUGCUCGGGUUCUGGUCUUGUUCUGGUAUACCGAAAUGAACCAAACGUUCGGGUUCGGUCCUAUCAUCCGAUCUUCGCUUAUCACUCUAAGGUAGUUUCUUUGGUUGUAAACCUUUUGUAUCAUUUUCUCAAAUUCAUUUAACUUAUUUUCAAAGUUCUUUUCUUUUUCAAACUUAUUUUUUUUGCAACCGAAAUAGACCGAAUGCUCGGNUUUUUGCACCGAAAUAGACCGAAUGCUCGGGUUCGGUUCCAAAUUUUUUUUAGCCGAAAUAGACCGAACGCUCGGGUUCGGAUCCAAAAUUUUUUUUUUGUGUCUCAACUUUUUUUUAAAUCAAAAAUUCUAAAAAAAUUUUUUAAUCAAAAAUUCCAAAAACAUUUUUUUUAUUAGUUCGAUAAUUUUUGUUUUGUGUCUUAUAUUUUUGUGUAGAUAUUUGUGGGAAUUAUUUCAUUAGGUAAGUGUCCCUAGAAGCAUGUUGCUGUAUGUGUCCAAAGCCUCAGCUGAUUCUGAAUAAUAGCCUUACUGACUUGGAGCAUGCUGCUUUAUGGUUACACAAUUUCUGUGUUUAUGAUCUUAGCUUUGUGUCACUACGUACUAAGUGAAACCCACAAUUCAAUAUCGACUAUGCAUUGAUGGUGAACAAUCAAUUUUGCUCUAAGCUUUCACUAACGAAUUGACGGAUUUAUCAAUGAGGAUGGAAAGUCAAAUCUCUAAUUUUCUUUUGUGUGAUUCUUAUGAAAUUGUUAAGUCCUAUAACAUUUCUUCCCUUGGAAUCCAGUUUUAAUUUUUUUUUUGAGAUUUUACAUAAACUAUUUUAUCUAGCCACUUAAAUUCUUUCAAACCUACUUGUUCAACAGACUGCAUUGGUCUCACAAGUACUUCGUUCGAUUUCUGUCUUAUAUCAAGAUCAGGAAUUCUGAAUUGAAGCGAAAGCCACCCAAAUUAGCCUGAUUAAAAGAAGCCUUUCAACACUUCUCAAUAAGUGUCUGAUCGUUAUUCAACGGGAAACCACACAAACACUUUAAAGUCUCUCUUGACUUUGAAGGAAGAGAUUCGUGCCCGGGAUCCUUUGUUUCGUGUCUUUACUGACAUCACAAAAUCCCUCAUAUGUGUUGCUUUAUUUCUUUUUCUUUUACACACUAAGCACGAAAAUGUUUUUAAUUUUCCAAAAUUCUGGUUUCAUUAGUUACAAGGCAUAAUUUUUAAAUGGGAUUUGCAGUUAUAAGGGAAUUGUGGUUAAUAUUGAUCCACGUGGUCAAUUUUGCUUUAAGAUGACGUUUAAUCUAAAAGGAUAAGAUGCUGACUCAGGCGGGAGUCCAAUUGAUUUAAUUUUUAAACGGCGCUUGAAGGCCAAGCGUGCGAAGUGGAACCGUUUCGUUUAAAAAUGGCGCUUGAUAGGAAGGCAUGUGAAUCGGGACUGACACUCUCUCUCAUGCGUAAUCAUCGGUGCUACCAACUGUCACGCAUCAAUCACUUCCGAAAAACCCUUCGUAUCUCCCUCGAUGAUUUGGGACAGAUUCUUCUCUCUCAUGUACCCACAGUAUAAUAGGUAACUUCAACCCUUGUUUACCUCUUUACUGCACCCAAAAAUCAGAGAGCAAGAAAUUCUUCACGUAUUCUACUUUUCAUCAUCUCUCCCAACCUCUUCACAAUAAUGGCGGAUUCAUCAUCAGUUCAUGCCACUUCCCACAUCUUGCUGAUUCGUCCCCAACAGAGUUUGAUCAUCGAUCUUACUCCUCAGGUCUAUGAUUCCUUCAUGUUCCCGAUAAUCGAAUGCCUCAAGUACUCGCCAUUUGCUCCUGCACUCACCAAAGCUGAAGCAGUUCCUAUGGAGUUCUUAUCUCAGAUUUUCGCCACUGCUCAUUACGACAUGGCAGUCGACAGGAUCUUCUUCGACGUGCUCGAUCACAAGGCGUCAAUCUCCAAGCAGUGGUUUUGCUCAAUUUUAGGGUUUGAACCUAAUUCAACUAGGGUUAACCCUGAAUCGAUUCCGGUGGGUCACAUGUUCUCUAUGUUCUACAACAUGGGGUAUACUGAGGUGCUGACAACGGUCACGAAGUUCAAGAAAUCGUGCCUGCCUCCUCAGUGGAAUGGGUUGUUUACUGUAAUGUUCAAGGGUCUAUCUAAACGCAAUGCCGGGUCAGACGGUGCAAGUCGUCUAUUCAUCACACUUCUUUAUGGGGUCUACAAUGGUAUCAACCUGGACUACGGGUCGGUCCUAUGGCAACAGCUCCUUCAGAGUCUGUCUUCUACAUAUCGGCAUUCCGAGAUUUCCUAUGCUCGAUUUUGGACUCUCAUCACAAAAUGGGUGAUGGAAAAGUACCACGUCCCUAUUGUUGCUGGUUCUCCUAUGUCUUUGAUUGGUACUUUCCAUACCACGAAGAUCAUUGUCUCCGACGCAUCCAAGUUUCAAUUCAUUGGCUCUAUCCCUGAGUCGAUGUAUGGAGAUGUUCCUGCCGACAACCGGAUCAUUAAAACCUACAAGGAGUUUCGUCGCUCUGGUCCUAGAGAGCUUACUCCUGAAAUGCUCAAGUCCAUUCAUGAAGCUGACAAGCCUGGGCCAAGGGGAAAGAAAACUGACAAAGGCAAAGACAAGCAGGUUGGCAAGGGAGCAAAAGGCCCUUCUCCCAAGAAGCGUAAAUCUACACAAACUGUUCAGUCUCCUCCGCUGAAGAAGAGAAAAACCCAACCAAGGCGAAAGCUGAUAAUCGCUUCCUCCUCAAGUGAAUCUGAGGAAGAUAAUUCAGACUCUGAUCAGUCUCCUCGUGGUAACACUCCACCACGAUCGCCUACUCCUGAAGUUCACUUUUCCACUUCUCCAAUCUCUUCUCCACCAAUUACCAUUCCCAUUUCCAUUCCCCCAUAACCUCCACCACUCAAAUACCAUCCACCUCCAUCCCAGUACCCCCUCCCAUCUUUACAGAAGCAACCACCACCACCGCAGAAGUAAGAACCAACGUAUCUGAUACGGGGGUUCCUAUUGACGCACCCAAACCCCCACCAACUACCGAACAUACAACCCAACCCGAACCUACUACAACUACUGAGCCUCCACCCUCACCACCACCCUCAUCUCCUGCUCAUGCAGCAGAGGACGAAGAACCAUUCCUCGGCGGGGAGGAUAUGACUUUUGAUUCGGUCUAUUACAGUCUGUUUCAGGUACAGAGUGAUGACGAUGAUGAUGCUCCCGUUACCAAGAAGCAUCUCAAGGAGCUUCACGAUAAAAUAGAUUCGCUCAUCGCCUCCUCUUCUUCAUCACAAUCCUCCAUCUCUGAAGCUGCUAUUCAAAGGNGCAGCCAUUGAUGCCUCAACCAAAGCCUGUGAGGCAGCGACCGAAAAAGUCGAAAAACUAUUUUCUGAUGCUUCCUCUCUAUUACAAUCUUUACAGGAAUCUGCUGAAGCCGCCAAAACGAAGCUGGAACCAAUUGUCAACCAGCUGGCAACCUCAGUUGCAUCAGAACUGAAGUCGUUUGCUUCUCUUCGUCAAAAUCUCUCAGACGACCACUCUGCCUUUAAGAGGACCAUAGAGGAGCGACUGACCAAGCUCCGAGAGGAUCUUGCUGCUGAAAAUUCUCUCAUGGACGCUCUUGCCAGAAAGACCACUGCUCUGAAGGUCAAGAGUCUUCAACUCUCCAAUUCUCAAAAGGAGAUUGAGUCUCUUCGAUCUGAAAGAGAGAUUGUGUCUUCGUGUGUUUCGGAUGUCCACGCAUCCAUUUCAAACAUCCUGUAAGCACAUGACCCGAUACUCAACAAUUCUGUGAGGCGAACUCUUGCAGAAAAACUUGCUCCUGCCCUUUCUCUCCUGAGAAAGAUUGAAGGGCUCCUUGCUUUCGUGUCCAUUCCGAAACAAAGGGGAGAAAAAGAAAAUGUGUCUCAACCGCCUCCUACUUUAACAGCAACCAAAACAACCGAACCUCCUCCAACAGGCCAAGCCUCAGGUUCGGGUGUUAAAGACAAGGGCAAGCAAAUUUCUGAAGAGAGCGAUGAUGAAGAUAAGGAGACCAUUGCCGACCUUCUGGAGAAGCAAGGUCGAGAUAAAGAUGCUGACAUCAGCGCUCGUGUAGCUAGAGAGGCUGAAGAAGCUGAAAGAAGACAGAAAGAAGCUCAUGACCUUCUCGAGAGCAGGAAAACUCUCUUUCCUCCUUGGACUCUUGAGAAGUUGCUGAAAGAAGCUAUCGAUACUCCAAGCAUCUUGUGGAUAGAACCGGUGAUCUCUCUAGAUCGUUCUAAUACUGUCGAUUCUCAGUUCGAUAUGCCACUGACCCGAAAGGCGUUCGUAUUCCAUGCCUUUGACAACAUUGUUGAGUUCCCUCAUCCUCAUCCAAAGGUUGACAGAGAUUUGUCGAAUUCUAUCUGAGGGCCGCUCAACCACAGUAUCAAACAUGGAGCGCUCAGAAGAUUGUCAAUGUUCGGCUUAUAAAGGCGUAUAAGGAAGGAAACUUUACCAACGUUCGGUUUAAGGUGCUGAGAGGAUCUGCCAAGACUGAACAUGCCAUCUCCCUUGCUGAUCUUCCCAACUUGAAUCCACACGACUGGAUUAAUUUGCACAACAUCCUUCUUACUAAUGAAGCAGAAUAUGGUUCGAUCAUCGACCACUUCAAGAGGAUGCUUGUUUGUUACAUCAUGGAAGUCGCCAAGGUGGAUCAGGAGAUAGCGAGUGUAUUCAAGAAAAAGCCUACUAUAUCUCCUGUUGGCUCUGCUAGUGAUCUCAACAUGAUGCAGAUGGGAAAGAUAGACCCGAAGAGAAACUCCGUUAUGUUUACCAGAAACGAAGGCCAAAAAUGCUUGUUCGCUUUGGCAGACAAACAUCUCUAUACCACUGCAUGUCUGGAACAUGUCAUAGGGAUCAUUCAUCGGUGCAAGCAUAAUUCGGCGGAUGACAAGAAGUACUUUGAUGAUAUGAUUCAAUGGUACAUUCGCUUCAGACAGACUAUUCUCGCACUUAUCUCUCGUCUGUUUGAUACAACCAAGAAAGUUCCAGCAGCUGGUCCGAGCGAGAAGAAAUGAUAGUCUCACUCCAAAUUGACGCAAAGGGGGAGAUUGUUAGGUCCAGUUUAGUGUUGCGUCUUUGGGCUCGUUAGCUAGUCCAAGUUUUGUCUCCGGUAUGGGUCUGUCCAUCCGUGAGUUUUGUUUAGGGUUUAUUAUAUAUAGAUGCUUGCAUGCAUUCUUAUCGUAAGAUUGAUAGAGAUUUGAUAGCGUACAAGUUCAUAUCUUUUGUAACCCUAGAAUCCUCUACAGCGGAAGUUCUUCAUCAAGCUCUGCUGAGGAUUGAGUUAAUCAACUCAUUCGACACAUUCAAAUCCAUACUUGUGUUUUUUUUUACAUUACUGAUUCUGUUUUAUUAAUUUACCUGUUACAAAGAUCUAAUCGAUCAAAGAGUUUUCGAACUCUUCAAUAUCAUCUAUGAACACAAUGACCGAGCAGUCGAGCAUUGGUAUGCAGACUCGGUUCAUCAAAUCCACGAACACUGCUGGCACAUUGGUGAGCCCAAACGACAUCACCACGAACAAGUAAUGACCAUAACGAGUCCGAAACGCGGUCUUCUCCACGUGUUCCUCCCUCACCCUGACCUGGUGGUAUCUUGAUCUCAAAUCAAUAUUGGAAAACCAAGACGCUCCCUGCAGCUGAUCAAAAAUAUCGUCUAUCCUCGGGACUGGAUAACAGUUCUUCACCGUUAACUUCUUCAGCUCCUUGUAGUCAUUGCACAUCCUGUGCAACCCGUCCUUCUUCCUGAUGAAAAGGAUCGGUGCUCCCUAGGGUGAGCUACUCGGUCGAAUAAACUGCUUACCCAUCAGUUCCUGCAACUGAGAUGAUAGCUCCUGCAUCUCCGGCUAUGCCAAACGGUACGGCGCCUUGGCGAUGGGGGCCGCACCUGGCACUAGAUCAAUCCUGAACUCAACCUGCCUCACUGGAGUCACUCCGGGUAACUCCUACGGAAACACAUCAGUAAACUCUCUAACCACCGGAACCUCUGGAACUGUGAGCUGCUCUUUAACCCAUGUAUGUAACACAUACACCAAAUAACCAGCACACCCGUGCUGAAUAUAUUGCCGAGCCCUAGCUGCCGAACAAAACCCUGAUCCCGACCUGGUGCCCUCACCAUAUACUACCAGUUCUCCCCUACUUAGGGUUCGAACCACCACCCGCUGUCCCUCACAGUCGAUCAUGGCACCAAAACGGAUAAGCUAAACCAUCCCUACAAUCACGCAUGCAUUCCCCAUGGAUAUAGGAAUCAAUUCUAUCGGGAAGGACACCCAAAAAAUCUCCAACUCGCAUACCCGGUAGCCCAAAGAAGCAGAAACCCCAUGCUCGUUGGCGAUCGAAACUCGCAACGGACACUCAAGAUCACCUAUCGGCACAAUGAACCCUCUGGAGAAGGUCUGAGAUACAAACGACCGACUCGCCCCUGAGUCAAAUAAUACCAAAGCGGGUAUAGAAUUCACUAAAAACGUACCUAAUCACAUUGUACCUAAUCACAGGUACAAUCCAUAAGCAUAACACAAAUACAAUAAUUGAGACAAAGAACAGAAACGUACCAGCAACCACAUCCGGUGCUACCUUGGCCUCCUUGGCUGUGAACUGGAAAGCGCGACCCUGAGCCUUCAGAGGCUCCACCUUGACUGGCCUCCCAUCUCCAAUCCUCACAGUAGCUGGCGCGGGACCCAGCUCCGGCUUCGCGGUGAGCUGUGGACAGUUGGUCUUCACAUGACCAACCUGAUGGCAAUGGUAACAAAUCCUCAUAUCUGCUGGAGGGGUGGACUGAUGGCAGUCCCUGGCAUAGUGCCCCUCCUUGCCACAUUUGUGGCACCCACCUACUGCUCGGCAAACUCCUGAAUGACUCCUGCCACACUUUCCACAAGUACGGAUCUGCUGACUCCCAGAUCGAGUAUCAGUGGUCUUAGACCGCUUAGGCGCCGGUUGAGACUAUUCCGGUUUCUGAAGCUGCUCCUUCAGCUGCAACUCUAUCUCCAACUCACACCGCCUUGCGGCUUCCUGUAGAUCCAGGAGGGUAACACAAUGCUGUGUAGCCACAAACUGCCGUAUAUCCGUCUUGAGCAUACUCAGAUAACGAGUCAUCUGAGACUGCUCAGACGCAAACUCCGGGCAAAACAUAGCCCUCUCAGUGAACAUCCUGGUAAUCUCCAUCACAGACUCCCCAUCCUACCUCCAUGUCAAAAACUCUUGAGCAAGCCGCUCCCGUUCCACUGGCGGAACGUAGUGGGUGCAAAACAUAUCCCAGAACUGUUCCCAAGUAAUAGCAUCCCGCUGAUCAUCUGAAUAUGAACCGGUCGUCAAUCUCCAUCAGUCCUUUGCCAUGAGCCUAAGCAGGUUCAGAGCACAACUAACCUUCUGGUCAGCAGGAUAUGAGCACAUGAAGAAACAGCCCUCCACGUCAGACAACCACUUCAUAGCUCUGAUCGUAUCCUGAGAACCAUCAAAUGUCGGGGGCUUCGUAUUAUCGAAGUCCCGGUACUGGAAAGCCCUGUCGGCUCCUCCUCCACCCCCUGCCGUAGUUACAGCCAAAGUGGCUACAGCGGCUGUUGUCUCUGCCAGAGCGGCAUAUCGCUCAUCAAAAUACUCGACCAUCACGGUCUUGAUCGACCCAAACAUCUCUGGUAGUUGCACUCGGAAAGCCGCAGCAACCUCAUCAUGCAGAAUCUCCCAGAUCCUGACAUCCAGCUCCUCAGUCCCUAUAUGAACCACGGGCUCAGGUGCUACCGGCACCUGUGACCCUCCGUCUCCCGACCUAACCCUGAUCCGGAUCCUGAUCCUGAUCCGGACCCAGCAGCAAAACGUCUCGUCACCACCAUACUGAAAGGUAUACUCAAGACAUCAGAUAAACAACAUAAUAUUGGGAGACCAAAAACCAUAAACCCUAGGGGUUGUGACUUCCUUGCUACGCAUAUGGGUCCAGUGCUUCCAGUANCCGGGCCCAUCCUCCCUUCCACAACUACCCAUAUUUGUCUCAAGUAUCACCAUAACGCCCUAACACUAUACUCAACAUAAUGUGCGCUCAACCCUCACUACUAGGGGACAUCGCCUAUCUCACAACUGAUCUCACCGUUCUACACAACUCACACCUCCAUGGAACUUCCAAUAGCCCCUACAGUGCUAGUGUAUGCUAGCCACACAUAAUGCUGGACCCGAUAGACUUUCGAAUAUCCAAUCUUACCCUAAGGUCGAAUUAGGCACUCUCGAGCUAUAAGAUCUUGACUAUGGACAGCCGUGAUGUAUACACUAAACUUCUACAGUUAUGAUGUCAAUUCCACAUACAAGAAACCUUAGGCUAAUAGGUAUCAUAUAAUCAGGCAAAUCUAUCAUGCGAUUCCUGAAGAUCCCUAGCUUAGCACUAGCAUGUUGUUCUAACAUAUCCGAAUAUCAAAUAUCUGUAUGGUAUUUUUGGGGUUCACUUACAGGCUCCAGCUAAUCGUACCCUCUGCAUCCUCCAUCCUUUAUUUUGAAAACCAUUUUUUUUAAAACUUACUUUCCGAAAAUCUCCUUGAUUUGAGACUGGAUUCAGACGAGUGUUCCUCCAAUUCACUCAAACCAAGGCUCUAAUACCAACUUGUAACAUCCAUAAAUUUUACACCAAAUUUAAACUUUUUUUAUCAUAAAUAAAAAAAUCAAAUAGCAUUGUUUACAAAAGUGUUUUCAAAUCAAUAUACAUCAGAGUGUCCCAAAAUCAUAACAUAAGGAUGAGGAGAGGUACGGUCACACCUUCGCCUUGCCAUGAUCCCCUGAGAUACCUAAAACAAUAAACUGAAACUGUAAGCCCGAGGGCUUAGUGAGCUACCAGCAAAAUACCAAUACCACACUAACAAUGCCAUAUCAGUAACAAUCAAUCAAUCAACAUGCAUACUGCCCAUUAGCCUGACUGGACCGACCUACUGGGCCUACAGUCUAUCUGAAUCUAUCCCGAACCUUCGGCAUCACUAGUCCGCCUCGUGGGUCUGCAGUCUCCCUGGACCGCUCAUAGGGUAUGUUGGCCUUCAGCACAAAGCAGGACCGCCUCAACCCAACCAACAAGCAAAUAACCAUGUGCGCAUAACUAUCAUAUACUUGCAUAUACAAACAUCAAACAUAUCUAUCACAGUGAUCAUCAAUCAUAGAAUUCUCUCGUAACUAGAGUACCGACCUAGCAGGUCACUAACAUAUCAGUCCUUAUGGAUCAUAAGAGCAUAACAUACUGUCUACCCUGCAAGUGAUCUAACAGAUCAUAACCACAUGUAGCAUACCAUAACAUUAACGACUAAAAGGCCGACCUUGGUGCCGUAGACCCUAUCGAUAUAGUGAGGAUAACUCACCUUGUAAAUGUCGUCUCGGAAGAUAAACUCCAACCAUCAGAUCACUUGACACAGGCUCCACCACCUAUGAUCAUAUUACAGUAUACUCAUAAGUCCUUAACCUUAUAAGGUACUCCAUAACCCACCAGUCAACCCCUGGUUAAAGUAAAAUUCCUCAGUCCAGGUCAACAAUCCAUGUUGACCCCAACUCGCCGAGUACCCUCGGCUACUCGUCGAGUUCCUUGAAGUACAAUCCAACUCACCGAGUCAUCGGGUGACUCGUCGAGUUUCUUCGAUUCUCGAUCAAACUUUAAGGCCACCCGUCGAGUUCCCUCCUUGCUACUCGACGGAUACACCCACAUACAUAUUCUAGGGAAAACUCAUCUGACUCGCUGAGUUGUUCUUCAACUCGUCGAGUCUUAUGGUAAUCUUCAUCAGACUCACUGAGUUGUUCAUCCAACUCAUCGAGUUCACGACCAUCUUCAUGUGACUACUCAAGUCAACCUUGCGACUCGCCGAGUCCAUUCAGUCGUCUUUCCAUACAGACUUGUUUUUAGCCAUGGAGCGGCUCCAAAUCAAAGAUCCAAGCUUCUAGGGCAUGCUCAUCACGUAAUGUUGCAAAGUUUACGUGCAUGCAUGGCUAUAAAGGCUCUAAAUGCCUAUAUUAAGUUCUUAAUGGAACUUCAUGCUCAAGGGGGACCUUAAUCAUGACCAAAACUGAAGCUUUAUGCUUCUAGAAUCCAAGGAAGGUCCAGAUCUGAAGUUACAACCUUAGAUCUAGUCCAUAGCUCGUCUUUCCAACUUAUUAACUCACCAAAAACCCUAAAACUCAACCAAUAAAAGAGAUUCACAAGGAAAAGGCGAUGUGGUUACCUCCAGAAGAUCAUAACUGAGAUGAAAGUUGAUUCCCACACUCUACUUGCUCCAAUCUCCUUCUCCUCGAAGCCUUUUCCCUAUAAAGAUCCUCUUUUCAAGGUUCAAAAGCACAAUGGGCACACACACACAUAUUAGGGUUUUAAGGGGCUCUCAAAGACUGUAAAGAGGCCAAAGGAGGCUGAGGCUCCUUUAAAUAGAGGUGCAAACCCUAGGAUUUAGGGUUUCAUCUGCCAGCUCCUACUCGCAGAGUCCCAAUAUGGACUCGUCAAGUAGGUCACUAAACACGCGAUCCCACCCCGCUGCUACUCGAUGAGUAGGUCAACCAACUCGUCGAUUAGGUCAACCAACUCGUCGAGUAGAACGUAUCCCAAUAACUCUUAUUUAAACAAUUUUUGAGAAUCAGGACGGUACAACUCUGAUAAAUGUUUUACUUAUUGAUGAUUUGAAAUGUUUGCAAUUAAUGUUAUCAAUGUUUUAGCUAUAUCAAAAACGAAUUUUUUACCCUUGACUUUUGGGUCGUUACAAGUUGGUAUCAGAGCCUUGGUUUGAGGGAUUCGGGGAUACCUCCGGUUGUGUCUGAACUUAAACUGAGGAAUCUGUAAAGUGUUCAAAAGUUUUCAAAAUAAAAUGUUUUAUGUAAAGAAUUUUUAAGACAAGAAAGGGUGUGGUGCAUGCAAUCAGUCGAGCUCAAGUAAGUUUCCCCAGAAUAACCAUAUUUGUUAUCCAUUAUGAUUUAAUAAUGAAUCUGUGAAUCGCAUGCUUUCUAGGGCUAGGGGAGAUGCUUGUAUAUGUUUUAUAAGCUGGUAGACUUGCAUGCUAGUGCUAAGUAGUUAGCAAUAGGUUGGCCUGAUAUGUGAUAAUUGUAGCCAUGAGGAUGUUGGUUGUCAUGCUGGAAUGAGAAUGAUAAUUGGUAAUUGUAAUUGCAAUGUGUAUGUUUUGAAAAUUGUAUACAGUUAGGGUCUUAUUGCCUUAGAAUAUUCGAUUUGACCUUAUUUCCCGUGGUCUUAGGGUAGAGUCUAUUAUUUGACAGUCUAUUAGAUCUUGUUCUAUGUACAAUUUGCUUGCAUGAGGCAGCCAACAGUGUGGAUGGAUGGAUGGAUGGAUGUGGAUAGCACGAGUUGUGGUACGUGGAGUAAAUGUCCGAUGAUAGCUUUGCAAGUUGGAGAGUACCCUAGGGAGAGCCUAGGAUGAGAGUAAUUACAGGAGUUACCUACUUACGGAUUGGAUGUGUGAAUAGACUGAUUUGUCUAGUGUAUGCGGGUUAGAUUUACUGAUUACAUGAAUCCUGCUUGCUUUGUGUUUUGGAGGGCUUUUAUUAAUGUGAGUUAGCUAUUAAGUGAAUAUGCUAGGUCAUAUGUAGCGCAGACUGUAUAAUCUCAGAGUGAUGGACUUGACCCUAUUGCGCAACUCUCGUUUGAGUCUAACCGUUUUAGGGAUGAGUCUUUUACUUCAAGGAUUUUCUGAUCUCUGCUACACGUGGCUAUAUUCAUGAGGUAGCUAGUUGACAUUAAUGGGAAUAUUUUAGCAGUUGAGGGCAGGGUGAGGUUGGGAACCUAGGAAAGCGUAGGAUAUGCUCCAGUGAGCUUAGUGGGGCAGUUCAGUGAAGUUGGGAACCUAUAGGGAGCCUAAGAGGUACUACAGUAGAGAUCGUUUUCCUGUUUAGCAAACAUUUAGUAUAUCGGUGGAGUAAGUGACUCAUAGGAUUCAGGAGGAUUGCCGAGGAAAGUAUGGAUAAGUGUGGAAGGUAGUAUUGGGCCUGUACUACGGAAAGCAAAGGAUCCGUACUCGAAUCGGUGAGAGUCUUGGAGAAUCUGAGAAGCUUAUGGGAAGCAGGACUCUUGAUUAUGCCUUGAUCGUGGAAAUAGUUGCUUCACAGAAUGAGGAUGAGCGUGAAUGUGUAGAACCAGGGUUUCGUCCCAGCUCCGGUGGUGAGUCAGUUAGUGGAAGGACUGCCAGGAUUUUGAGUUCACCUUGGAUAUGGCGGCAAGGAUUGUGCAACCUAUUGCACGUUCGGGAUUGGAGACCAAGUCUCAGGGAUAGUUUGUAGCCAGGUUUAGAGCAGAGAUUGCUCCAGCUGUUGCAAUAUAGCCACGACGAUUGAGCUAGUAAGUGGAUCAGGGUGCGAGACCCUGAAUGACAUGGAUCAUAGAGCCGAGGACAGAAUAUUGAUUAGGAUUACCUCGAUGCAAGAGAUUCAGGUCAGGUGAAUUUGUUGGAGGGUCUCGGGCGAAGACCCAAGAGUUUGGAUCAACUUUUGAGAGGCCAACAGGGUCAGAUCCAAUGCAACGUUUACAGAAACUACACGACGAAGCUUCGUUCCAAGUGUUUGGAUUGUCAUUAGGAUUGGAAUUUGGUGUUACAUUAUGUUAUCAAGGUGGUCGAAGUACCACAGGAAGAGGGGGUUAGGAUUCCUUUAGAUUUUCGCGGAUAUACUAUCUUCGGCCAUUUCCGGUGGAUCUCAGGUCGGUUUUCUGCUAUUGUCUAGGUAAGCAAGAGUUGCCAGAUGCCAUUAUGCAUGUCGAGGAAUCUGUGAGGGAUCUUUAGAUGGAUGUAUCUCGUAGAGAGGAUUCCGAGUGUACUUUAAUUGCUCUGAGUCGUUGUCGGAAUCUGUUCAGUGAUCUGGUUUGCUACGGGUGUAGCAGGGUUGGUCAUGUUUCCAGGGAUUGCCCACAGGGGGAAAGCCCGUUAUAUUUGUUGCGAUUAGAAGGGUGACAAGGAUGUCGGCCAUUUAAGAAUCAGAGAGGAGUGGUGAGUGCAUCCGCUCCGGCUAUUUUGAGGAUCACCAUUGGACGAGAGGGUAGAGUUGGAGCCCAACAGGGAGGGGCACCAUUUUGGAGGGUCAGACAAGAGAGAUCGGAACUCUUGACGGCAAGAGUGAAAGGUAUGUACCUUUUUGCCUCCCCACCAGCAUUGUUUGUAUUUAGUAGCAGAUAUUUUUCAUCAGCAUGGGAAGGCGUAUCGUUGGUUGUUAUCUCAGGUGGUGGUUGACUUACAUGCAUCUUCAAGAAGAGUUAUAUGCCUUCUGAAAACCGUAAAUUUGGGUGGUGUAUUACGGGGUCAUCUCCUGAUAGAUUGUCAAUUUUUCCAGCAUUCAAGUGUCAUUGUGAAUAAGGUCGGGGUUGGUUCAAGGGUUCGUACGAGGGGAUUUUGACUGGGUUUAGUAACCUUAGCAAUUAUGAAAGCCUUUCAGAGUUGCCGAGGUAGUGAAGGAGAAACCGUCGCAGAAGUAUUGUGGGAGCAUCCGACCUUUGGACUCCGAGAUGUGAGUGUGAUGUCAGUGUGAACAGCUAGAGUCAUUCGCAUUGUUGGGACACAAGACGUGCUAGUGGGUUUUCGGGAAUUGUUUUGUUUGGAAGGGUUAUGCAUGGUGUUCUAGCUUUGGUAAGCACCGGUCGUUAGCAAGGUGAACAUUGGAACAUAAUGAGGAUUGGGAAUCCUCCAGUUUUCGUGUGCCGAGCGGACUUCGUUGAAACUAAGUGGGGAAGAAUCGUCCAUGUAUCCUGGACAGAAGCAAGGGUGAAAGUGAUGUAAGACUACAGGGGAGCCGUAGCAUGCACUAGUGGUAGAGAGUGUUGUAUGACUGCGAGGAUCCGUAGCGAAAUUCCCUUUAAUGGGGGGAUGAUGUGACAACCUGAAACUUCAAUCUUGUGCACUUAGUCAAAUUUAAUCAAAUGUUAAACUUGUUUUGUUGACUUCUUGUGCCGUUUAAGGGUUCAUUUGAGAGUUCUAAGCUGGAGUAUGACCAAGGUUGGGUUUAGGAAUGAGUCAGCAAGCCAUAGGGUGACAAAACUGGGCCAUACACACCUCUAGGAGGAGUGUAUGGCCGUACAUAUGAGUGUGCGGCCGCACAACCACUCUUUGGCCACACACUUACUUUUUGAUAGCAUUCUCUCCCGUAUAUAAAGGGUAGACUCCUUUCCCCCUCAUUCUUUUCACUCCUUGGCAGCACACUACACUAUUCUCUCAAGUUUCUUCAACCGCAAACCCUCCAAAGCUUCAAGAACGUGAGUAAUUCAUCCUCUAACUUGAUAUCCAUGAAAGACCACUCUAUCUAAGCCAUAAGUGUGCAAUAUUCAUCAUGUUCUUUGUGUUUGGAAGUGAGUGCGUCCGCACACCCCCUUUAAAGUGGCUACACACUCUUUAAACACCCUACAAAGUGAGAGUUUGACUUCCAUACUCGAGAUAGACAUGACCCUAGCCUUAUUGUACCUUGGAAUUGACAUUUGGACAUCUUCAUGUGUGGUGUACGACCGUACACACCUGUGUACGACUGCACAUAACCUUGUGUGGAAGCACACUCCUUGUGUACGGCAGCACACUCGCGUGUGCGAGCACACACUCAUCCUAGGGCCGCAAACCCACUUCUAGAACCCUUAACUUGCACUAUAAUUGAGUAUAGACCUAGAACACUUUGUGGAUACAAGUAUGGACCUUGAGAGCACCACCAAAGCACCUUCUGUCAUGAGUGUACAGCCACAUACCCCUUGGGCCGCACACCCAUGGCCGCAUACACACUCAAGGUGGCCAUACACUCCCCUCAUGAAACCCUACAAGGUCCUAUCACUUAGUGGAAGUAGUUCCAAGUCUCUAGAGUGGUUUUCUGUAACAACCCGAUAUUUCAACUCUUUGUAAUGACCUAAAAAGUCAAGUAUUGUAACCACCUUUGAGUUAAUAAAAUUAACUUUGAUAAUAAAAUGUCCAAAAAGUAUCUAUUUAAAUUCCUACUAUGUUUAAUAUCAUUAGACCAGGAUCGUACGUAAAAAGUAUGCCCAAAUCCGAGUUCGUAUAUUGAAGUUAAGAUUUUCCAAGUUCGGCUUAGCAGCAGACAACUAAAAACCCGAAUCGGAGAUCGAGCGACUUUUGGCCGGAAUGACCUAAACAAGAAUUGAAGGUCUCAACAAUGGUAUUUUAGCGGUAAAAAGUCUGGCAAAAACCGACGUCAGAUAAAUAAGUUAUGAAUUUUUAAAGAAAUUCCUUAAUCACGAUAUUUUAUAAAUAGAUAUUAAAAAUAAUUUCGUAAUUUGCCAACGGAGUCUAAACGAAAGUUGUAGAGCAUAGUCUCACCUACGCGUGCAUAUAAAGACCAUCUAAAACAGAGUUCGUAUGAAGAAGAUAUGAUUUUUUUGAAGUUUAUUAAAUAAAUUAUAUAUAAAUUUAAAUAAAAAAUCUGGUAAUAUCCGAAGGAGGAGUCAGCGUCCUCAUCCGAGUUACGCGCUGCGUAGCCUCGUAUGCCCCGCGUACGCGAAGGCCUUGGUCUCGGUCCGUCCACGUCGCCCCUAUACAAGUCUAUGCGAUCCGUCCCAUCCGAAGCGAAGCAGUCGAGGACUCAGUCACGGGUGACGCACGAGUACGCCCCGCGUACGAGCGUACGCCCCGCGUACCGAGGCUUCCCAGACCACUAUAAAUAGAGAUGCGAGGGUUCCGGAAAAUUCACCCCAUUUCUCUCAUUUCUCUCACGAUAUUGCCUCGAUUUCCAUGCCCGUACUACCCCAAAGCCCUGAUCAUUUUGCUCGAGUCCCGAAGAUUGAUUUUACUCCCGAGAUUCCCGAGAAUCCCGAGAAAAAUCCGUUUCCCUAGACGAAACUCUGCCCGGUUUUCCAUCUCGCUAUCUUCAAACUUUUAAGUGAGUUCAUACCCCCUUCAAACACACUUUAAAUACAUUUUAAAUGCUUUUAUACUCUUUUAGGGGAGGAAUACAAGUAAACAUACGGUUAUUAUCGUGUAUUUCAUAAAAUUUCACUUUACUCGUUUUUAUCAAAUGAAUCACUUGUGAUUUAGUACUACUAUGUGAAAACUCUUGUCAUACUUUGCAUGCACUAGAUUUAUACAAAGUAUUUAGUAAUUCCAAAGUAUCCUUCGUUGCUAAACUGUUUUAUACAUUCUAAAAACUUAUGAUUUAUGCUUUGUCAAACAUUGUGAAAAAGGAUAAACUUUGCACACAAAACUAUUACUUUAAUACAGACUUAGUUGAGAAUCCAUGAGACGUGUACAUCUUCAAAUACUGCCUUUUUAUUAGAAGGUAUCGCUACAAGUCCUGUCUAUAACCAGAGUCUCCCGUUCGGAGAACGUGUCAAAUGUGUAUAGAUCUAUACGGGAAGUCAUGAUCCCGCGCCCUGACUGUUAGCUACAGUCCUUCCUUUGGGGUGACAGUUUGUCAUAACGCUACGACGCCUGAAGAACGUCGCUACAGGCAUAUUAUGUUUAGUAUGGUUAUAAAACUCAUCGGAUAUACAAUUAUUAUAGUACUUCUGAUUUAUGAAUGAGUAGUUAUUAAAACUAUUAUUCAUCUAAUAAACUGAAAUCUUCUAAUAGGUUUUAUUAUAUAAAUCUAUGCUUCAACUUUCUAAAGCAUGUCUUUUGCUUUCGGUUUUUAGUCUGGGACAUUAGGCUAACUAUUACUUUAGGAAAAUAUGGGGUUUUCCUUGUAUGCAAAACAAACGACUAAUAGGAAAAUAAGGGAUUUUCUUGAUUCAACUAGCUAUAUUAUUCAAUACAUAUAUUCUCAUGCAUUUCACACUUUUAUAAGAAAAUAAGGGAUUUUCUUGGAAAAUAUACACUCAAUUUGGAAUGGCAUACAAACUUUCUAAACCACUUAUGAACUCACCAACUUAAUUGUUGACACUUUCUCUUUGAAAUAACUUGUAUUCUCAGGGAACCGCUAAGCAGGUUUGGAAAUCAACUUUUGGGGAUUAACGCGCUGGCGUUAAUUACUUCUUUUGAAAGAUGUUUAUGCAUUUAUCUUUUGAGCAUGUAAUGAAUACAAUGAUGUAAACAUUUUUAAAACCUUUAUAUAUGUAUGGUGGUGUGUACUUUCCUUUCUAUGAACUGUUAUGAUACUGAAUAUGACGUCCUCCGCCCCCGAACGUUUCCGCCGUUCUGGUUUGGGGGUGUGACAGAUUGGUAUCAGAGCAUCGUUUAUAGUGAAUUAAGUAUAUCAAAACCAUUUUUGGUAUACAACUAUAAACUCAACUGGGCAAAAACACUCUGAGAAGAGUCAUACUUUUGAAAUUAAAUUUAAUUAGUUUUAAAGUAGGCAUGCACUCAUUUCAUAUUAAUAACAGUUUCACAUCGGAUAAUUUUAGAAGUAUUAUAAAUAAGUUGUGCAGUACAGGUACGCCUUGGGACAUGUAAUCGGAACUCGGAAGAAUAUAGCCUGAUCAACUAUAUUUGUCCGAGAGUCGACUAACAUGUGCCAAGGAGUGACUAUAGUGGACAACAAUUUUAAAAACUUACCAAAAGCACAUCAUUACAUAAUACUAAGGGAGUUUUGUGUUGUCAUCAACCAUUAAACUUAAGGGAAGUUUCAUGCACCCUAGCUUAUAAUAAAUUCUUAACCCUCUUCUCGUACAGACUCAAUGGCUGGAUUCCACCACCCCAAUGACCCCUACUACCCCAACCAAGGUAAUGGAGGAUGGGUCGAAGAAGAUCCCGAAGAGGACGAAGAGCCGAUAGAAUUGGAUGAGGGAGAUGACUCUGGUACAGAUUUAGAGCCAGAGGUUAUCAAUCUACCGGCCCCACAACCUCCUGUCCAUGUGAGGAACUUCAAAGGACCCACUCCUAUGUGGGGAAGUCACCUCCACCAUUGGAGCCGACAACAAAGCUUACGCCAUCCCUACGGCAUGUGCCGAGACUUUUAUGAUGUCAGAGGCGGGGGAUCGGCAGACCGAGCACUUCCGGUCAUGGUUGGCAAACUAGCCAACCAAUGCUAUCAAUCUGGAGUUCAAGCCAACCGGAUCCGCGAGAUCAACGUAGAAGUACAGGUUCACACUUUUGACAUCCGUAGGCUGGAUGGGAUUCAGGACCAUGCCCAACUCCAAACUGAGGCAUUUCAGGCACAAAUGAUUGCAGCCCUAGCCGAGUUAAGGGAGCAACAAGCCGCUUUUGAUAGGCGUCUAAUGGAAUCGAAGCAAUCAGAUGCGGAGUCAAGCUCCAAGCGCAACCUACGUCGCAAAUAGUGCUUGCUAGGAUUUCAAAUUUUGUUAUAAAUUAGGACUUCGGAUAAGAAUAUAAUUUUCUUUAAAACUUUCUGUAAUCGGAGACCUUUAGAAAGGUCAAAAAGUUUUGUCUAAACUCGGAUGUAACACAACUAUAUGUUUAAUAUAUAUAGGGCAUAUCUCUUUCUUGUUUUAAUUAUGUGUAGUCCGUUCAAUUCAUAAGUACAUCUAUUCAAACGUUAUUUAUGAAUCAAGCUCAAAACCCUGUGUUGGCCAAACCAAAUUCUUAAACUAUUAAAAGAAGUUGACUCAAUAUCAUUCAACUCGCAACCACCAAAACUUAUAAUCUCUCAUUUUCUUUUGGCAGCGUGAUGCCUCCUCGUCCAAACCUGAGGCCCAGACCGGGCACGGUGCCACCACCACCUCCACCACCAACGUAUGAUCCAGCCAUGGUCCAGGCGGCUAUCACAGCAGCAGUAACAGCAGCUCUCUCGCAAAUAAACUCCNGAGGUACAGGAAGCAGCUCGAAUCAUUCAAAUCAUGGCACCGGCCGUGGUCAAGUGAGGGAGUGUACCUACAAGGAAUUCUCCAACUCAAAGCCAAAGACUUUUAAUGGCAUGGGAAGAGUCAUUACACUAAUGCAAUGGUUCAAAAAGACCAAAACAGUCUUCGAGAUCUGCUCGUACCAAGAAACAAGCAAGGUCAAGUUCGCUGCUUGCACCUUCAUAGAUCGAGCCCUCACUUGGUGGAAAAGACAUGUGAAUUUGGCGAUGCUCACUGUCGCCAACGCCAUGAGUUGGGAAGAUCUGAAGGUUCUACUACUGGAAGAAUACUGCCUAAGGGGCGAAGUGCAAAAUCUUGAGCAGGAGCUCUGGAAUCUAAAAAUGACUGGGUCUGAUCUAGUCGCCUACAUAGCUAGGUUCAAUGACCUCGCCGCUUUGUGCCCUACCAUGGUCAAACCAGAAUCAAAGAAGGUCGAAAGGUACAUUUGGGGGUUGUCACCCCAGAUUCAAGGGCAUGUCCUAGCUUCCAACCCUAUUACCUACAACAGCGCUAAACACCUGGCUCAACGACUCAUCGACCACGGAGUAAAACAGGGUACCAUUGCAACAACCGCAAAUCCACCUAAGGAGGCUCAGGGCCAUAAUAGGCCUUGGAACAAGAGGAGGGGACAAACCCUCUAGGAGAACCCCAAGAAACAACAAGUAGUAGCGUCCCACGCGAUUACUGUACCUACCAACUCUGCCCCAACAAGCUCAUACAAUGGGAAACUUCCAAAGUGCAACCAAUGCAACUUCCACCACCACAGUCUCUACCGUGACCUUCAAUGCACCAGGUGCAAUAAGAAGGGACAUACAGGCCGCUAUUGCAAAGAGCCAACCCAAUAAUCCGCCCCCACUGCUAAUACCAGAGUAAGCCGCACCUGCUUUGAGUGCGGAGACACGGGGCACUACCGCAGGGACUGCCGAAAGGCAAACAACAGGAAUACCGGCAGAAGGGGCCGAGUUUUCGCAAUGGGACAAGAUGAAGCCGUUGUGGAACCUACUGUAGUUACGAGUAUGUUUCUUAUCGAUAACUCGUAUGCAUGCAUUUUGUUUGAUAGUGGAGCGGAAAGGAGUUUUCUGAGUCACGACUUUAAAGGCAUGCUAAAACCAAUACCACAAUCAUUAAGUGAACCAUUCAUAGUAGAAAUGGCCAACGGGAAAACCGAAGGCACUAAGGAGAUAUAUUUAAACUGCAUCCUAACUCUAAACGAUAAUCUCUUUCCAAUCAAUCUCAUGCCAGUCUCGAUUAAGAGUUUCGAUGUCAUCAUUGGCAUGGAUUGGCUGAGUUCACAUCGUGCGGACAUUUUAUGUUACGAUAAGGCCGUUCGCCUUAAUCUGCCAACCGGCGAAACCUUCCUUGUCUUGGGCGACAAACCUAGUACCACUCUUAGAAUCAUCUCAAGUAUCCAAGCUCAGAAGUACCUACGCAAGGAGAAUCACACGUUUUUGGCACAUGUUGUAGAUGUGAAGCGCGAAGUCCAGGAUGUCAAGAAUGUGCCCGACGUAUGCGAUUUUCCCGACAUUUUUCCCGAGGCUCUUCCUGGAAUACCACCCGCAAGACAAGUCGAGUUCAGAAUCGAUCUGAUUCCCGGAGCUCCCCCAGUAGCCAAAGCACCCUAUCGAUUAGCCCCGGCAGAGAUGCAGGAGCUAUCCAGCCAACUGAAUGAACUACUUGGAAAAGGAUUCAUCAGGCCGAGCUUCUCGCCAUGGGGAGCACCCGUGUUGUUCGUGAAAAAGAAAGAUGGAUCGUUCAGGAUGUGCAUCGACUACCGAGAACUCAACAAACUUACCAUCAAGAACCGAUACCCCCUACCCCGAAUCGACGACUUAUUCGAUCAACUCCAAGGAGCCAACUACUUUUCCAAGAUCGAUCUAAGGUCGGGAUAUCACCAGCUGCGAGUCCUAGAGAGUGAUGUUCCCAAGACGGCCUUCCGGACGAGGUACGGACAUUACGAGUUCGUAGUGAUGCCGUUCGGACUAACCAAUGCCCCGGCCGUAUUCAUGGAUCUAAUGAAUCGGGUAUGUCGUCCAUUCUUGGAUAAAUUUGUGAUAGUAUUCAUAGACGACAUACUCAUUUAUUCAAGGAAUAAAGAAGAACAUAGUCAACACCUGAGACAAGUCUUAGAGACGUUACGGACUGAGAGACUUUAUGCAAAAUUCUCAAAAUGUGAGUUUUGGAUUAGAAAGGUGGACUUCCUCGGUCACGUGGUCAGCAAGGAAGGAAUCCACGUGGACCCCUCAAAAAUCAAGGCUAUCGAAAACUGGUCUGCACCAACUACACCAACAGAAAUUCGCCAAUUUCUAGGUCUUGCUGGUUAUUACCGAAGGUUCAUCCAAAAUUUCUCCAGCAUCGCAAAGCCUCUUACCGCUUUAACCCAGAAAGGUGUGACCUACAACUGGGGAGAAAAGCAAGAUGUUGCAUUUCAAACCUUGAAACAAGCCCUUUGCAGUGCACCUAUCCUUUCUCUUCCGGAAGGGACCGAAGAUUUUGUGGUGUAUUGCGACGCUUCAAAGCAAGGGCUGGGUUGUGUACUAAUGCAGAGGGGAAAGGUGAUUGCAUAUGCCUCACGACAACUGAAAACGCAUGAGGUCAAUUACACCACUCAUGACUUAGAACUUGGAGCAGUGGUCUUCGCUCUUAAAAUCUGGAGGCACUACCUUUACGGUACCAAGUGCACAGUCUUUACAGACCACAAGAGCCUCCAACACAUCUUCGACCAGAAGGAAUUAAACAUGAGACAACGACGUUGGGUCGAAUUGCUCAACGACUACGAAUGUGAGAUUCGCUAUCAUCCGGGAAAGGCAAACGUCGUAGCCGAUGCCCUUAGUCGAAAGGAGUACUCUGGCCGAAGAGUGAAGUCAUUAGCUAUGUCGAUCCAUUCGCACCUGUCAACGCAAGUCAAGGAAGCUCAAAUAGAGGCCUUGAAACCCGAAAACGUGGCAGGUGAGGCCCUUAGGGGAAUGGACAAGAACUUAGAAAUCAAGAGUGACGGAGCACGCUACCUCAUGAACCGGAUCUGGACACCAAAGUUUGGUGGAUUCAGAGAGGUAGUUAUGAGCGAGGCACACAGGACCCCAUACUCCGUACACCCAGGGUCAGACAAGAUGUAUCUAGAUCUCAAGCAACUCUACUGGUGGCCAAACAUGAAAGCGGAGAUCGCUACGUAUGUGAGCAAGUGUUUAACUUGCGCCAAAAUAAAAAUAGAACACCAAAAACCCUCAGGCCUACUCCAACAACCUGAAAUACCUGAGUGGAAAUGGGAGCAGAUUUCCAUGGACUUCAUAACCAAACUGCCCAAAACUCAGAGUGGCCAAGAUACUAUUUGGGUAAUCGUCGACAGAUUAACCAAGUCAGCCCAUUUCUUACCUAUCAAGGAAACCGAUAGGAUGGAAAAACUAUCAAGAACCUACAUCCGGGAGAUCGUACGACUUCAUGGAGUACCAAUGUCCAUCAUCUCAGAUAGAGACAGCAGGUUCACUUCCAGAUUUUGGCAAUCACUGCAAAAAUCCAUGGGAACAAGGUUGGACAUGAGUACAGCAUACCACCCUCAAACUGACGGACAGAGUGAGAGGACGAUCCAAACCUUGGAAGACAUGUUGCGAGCAUGUGUAAUCGACUUUGGCAAGGCAUGGGAUAUUCACUUGCCUUUGGUCGAGUUCUCUUAUAACAAUAGUUAUCAUACUAGUAUCAAGACCGCUCCGUUCGAAGCCCUUUACGGCCGUAAGUGCAGAUCACCCCUGUGCUGGACGGAAGUGGGCGACACCCAAUUGGCAAAAGGUCUAGUCACUAAAAGCACCCUUACUGGUCCAGAGAUCAUCAGAGAAACUACCGAAAAGAUCGUGCAAAUACGAGAACGACUGAAGUCCUCAAGGGAUAGGCAAAAGAGCUAUGCCGACAAAAGACGUAAACCCUUGGAAUUCCAGAUUGGUGACUGUGUACUACUGAAUGUCUCACCCUGGAAGGGCAUGAUACGCUUUGGAAAGCAUGGGAAGCUAAAUCUUAGGUACAUUGGACCCAUCGAAAUCAUUUCAAGAGUUGGUCCAGUGGCCUACAAACUCCGUCUUCCAAUCGAGCUUAACAAAGUACACCAAGUAUUCCACGUAUCGAAUCUGAAAAAGUGUUUGUCCGACGAAACACUUGUAAUUCCACUCGAUGAAAUCGAACUAAAUGAAAAUCUUCACUUUGUGGAAGAACCUGUCGAGAUCAUGGAUAGGGAAGUUAAACGAACUAAACAGAUUCGCAUUCCAAUAGUAAAGGUUCGAUGGAAUGCUAAGAGAGGACCCGAGUUCACAUGGGAACGGGAAGACCAAAUGCAACAGAAGUAUCAGCACCUCUUCCUCAGCGCCUAAGACUUCUCUUUUGUAUUAAAAUUUCGAGACGAAAUUCCCUCUAACGGGGGGAUGAUGUACCAACCCUAUAUUUCAACUCUUUGGAAUGACCUAAAAAGUCAAGUAUUGUAACCACCUUUGAGUUAAUAAAAUUAACUUUGAUAAUAAAAUUCCUACUAUGUUUAAUAUCAUUAAACCGGGAUCGUACGUAAAAAGUAUGCCCAAAUCCGGCUUCGUAUAUUGAAGUUUAGAUUUUUCCAAGUUCGGCUUAGCAGCAGACAGCUAUAAACUCGAAUCGGAGAUCGAGCGACUUUUGGCCAGAAUGACCUAAACGAGAAUCGAAGGUCUCGACAAUGGUAUUUCAGCGGUAAAAAGUCUGGCAAAAACCAACGUCAGAUAAAGAAGUUAUGAAUUUUUAAAGAAAUUCCUUAAUCACGAUAUUUUAUAAAUAAAUAAUAAAAAUAAUUUCAUAAUUUGCCAACGGAGUCUAAACGAAAGUUGUAGAGCAUAGUCUCACCUAUGCGUGGAUAUAAAGACCAUCGAAAACGGAGUUCGUAUGAAGAAGAUAUGAUUUUUUUGAAGUUUAUUAAAUAAAUUAUAUAUAAAUUUAAAUAAAAAAUCUGGUAAUAUCCGAAGGAGGAGUCAGCGUCCUCAUCCGAGUUACGCGCUGCGUAGCCUCGUACGCCCCGCGUACACGAAGGCCUUGGUCNGUACGCGAAGGCCUUGGUCUCGGUCCGUCCAAGUCGCCCCUAUACGAGUCUAUGCGAUCCGUCCCAUCCGAAGCGAAGCAGUCGAGGACUCGGUCACGGGUGACGCACGAGUACGCCCCACGUACGAGCGUACGCCCCGCGUACCGAGGCUUCCCAGACCAUAAUAAAUAGAGAUGCGAGGGUUCCGGAAAAUUCACCCCAUUUCUCUCAUUUCUCUCACGAUAUUGCCUCGAUUUCCGUGCCCGCACUUCCCCGAAGCCCUGAUCAUUUUGCUCGAGUCCCGAAGAUCGAUUUUACUCCCGAUAUUUCCGAGAAUCCUGAGAAAAAUCCGUUUCCCGAUUUGAAACUCUGCCCGGUUUUCCAUCUUGCUAUCUUCAAACUUUCAAGUGAGUUCAUACCCCCUUGAAACACACUUUAAAUACAUUUUAAAUGCUUUUAUACUCUGUUAGGGGAGGAAUACAAGUAAACAUACGGUUAUUAUCUUGUAUUUCAUAAAAUUUCACUUUACUCGUUUUUAUCAAAUGAAUCACUUGUGAUUUAGUACUACUAUGUGAAAACUCUUGUCAUACUUUGCAUGCACUAGAUUUAUACAAAGUAUUUAGUAAUUCCAAAGUAUCCUUCGUUGCUAAACUGUUUUAUACAUUCUAAAAACUUAUGAUUUAUGCUUUGUCAAACAUUGUGAAAAAGGAUAAACUUUGCACACAAAACUAUUACUUUAAUACAGACUUAGUUGAGAAUCCAUGAGACGUGUACAUCUUCAAAUGUGUAUAGAUCUAUACGGGAAGUCACAAUGUAUCGCUACAAGUCCUGUCUAUAACCAGAGUCUCCCGUUCGGAGAACGUGUCAAAUGUGUAUAGAUCUAUACGGGAAGUCAUGAUCCCACGCCCUGACUGUUAGCUACAGUCCUUCCUUUGGGGUGACAGUUUGUCAUAACGCUACGACGCCUGAAGAACGUCGCUACAGGCAUAUUAUGUUUAGUAUGGUUAUAAAACUCAUCGGAUAUACAAUUAUUAUAGUACUUCUGAUUUAUGAAUGAGUAGUUAUAGAAACUAUUAUUCAUCUAAUAAACUGAAAUCUUCUAAUGGGUUUUAUUAUAUAAAUCUGUGCUUCAACUUUCUAAAGCAUUUCUUUUGCUUUCGGUUUUUAGUCUGGGACUUUAGGCUAACAAUUACUUUAGGAAAAUAUGGGAUUUUCCUCGUAUGCAAAACAAACGACUAAUAGGAAAAUAAGGGAUUUUCUUGGAAAAUAUACACUCAUUUUGGAAUGGCAUUCAAUGUUUCUAAAUCACUUAUGAACUCACCAACUUAAUUGUUGACACUUUUUCUUUGAAAUAACUUGUAUUCUCAGGGAACCAUUAAGCAGGUUUGGAAUUCAACUUUUGGGGAUUAACGCGCUGGCGUUAAUUAUUUCUUUUGAAAGAUGUUUAUGCAUUUCUCUUUUGAGCAUGUAAUGAAUACAGUGAUGUAAACAUUUUUAAAACCUUUAUAUAUGUAUGGUGGCGUGUAGUUUCCUUUCUAUGAACUGUUAUGAUACUGAAUAUGACGUCCUCCGCCCCCGAACGUUUCCGCCGUUCUGGUUUGGGGGUGUGACAUUUUCCAUCACAUAUACUGGUGAAAUACCUUCAUUUGACUCUUUUAUGUGUCAUUACGUGUUGAUUAGGAUCAAAUUGUGUUCAAGGCUUCACUUGAACACCCAACUUUCCGUAUCAAUCCUUCAAUCAAACCACUUACUCGAGGUGAGUUCAUACCCCUACAUGUUCCGUGUUUUUUAUGUUUUCAGGGGGAGAAUACAAGCCAAACCAUAAGUGAUUUUGUAAAUUAAUAUAAAGAGCUUUUAAAAAAAUAUAAAACUCAUGCAAUUCUCAUACUUUAACCCCUUUUGUACUAUGUUGAGCAUAAGGGAAAUUUUACAACUUAUCACUAAAUUGCAUUGUUUUCCGGACUCGAUAUUUACUACGCUAUACGUGAAAACUAUAACCAGUAUAGUUUGGGAUUUUCGAAACAUAACAAGUACAAAAACUUUCACUACUAAACAUAUACACUAUGACAGAUAUAGCUUACAGUUUACAUCACUACAUGAACAUGCCAUUCAUAACUAUAAUUGUCACUACAUAAGGUAUAGAUACGGAUUUCACUACGGUAUAAUGCUACCACGCUACAUGUAAACUAGAUUGUACGAUACUGUGAGGCACUACUUCAACACUAUACCCUUAGGUGUACAAGGAUAAAUGCUGUCAUAGUAUAACCAGAGUCUCCUGAAGGGAGAGCGUGAGAUUUGUGAAUAGAUCUAUUCGGGAUUGACAAUCUCACACCCGAACUGCUAGCUACAGUUAGACAGGCAUGCCUAGGGUGACCAAUGCCAUUUAACUCAACGCCUGAAGAACGUUGAAAAGGUCUCUAGUCAUAUCAAGUAUGGUUAUACGAAUAACAAUAUGUAUAAAUCACCUUUGGUUUACAAGUUGGCACUCUUCAACAAUUUUAUUUAUACUAAAUAAAACUAAUACGCACUACAACCAGAGGAUUUCCAGGGAUUUAGCUACAUGGUUUUAUUUGAAGUAAUAAAACACACUAUGUAUACUGGCUAUAGCCAGGGCUUUCUAUUAGAACCGAUUAUACAAUGGUUUUACCUACGAAAUACUUAUACAUCAUGAUUAGCAUUAGCUGGUCACAUGAAGUAGUAAUUUCUCAUAUCACUACAGUUUUCAGUAACGAACAUUCAUGGUUUUAUACAAAAUUGAUAACGCUACAUUCUCAUUAAAGAAAAUAUCGGAUUUUCUUGAAACCAUACGAAUGAUUUUACAAAUUGAGCAACAAGUUUUCAUUUUAAAAUACCGCUUAUGAACUCGCCAGCUUUAUGCUGAUAUUUUCAAACUGCUUGUAUUCUCAGGAAAUCAGUAGACAGGUACCUGCUGGAUUUUCGAGAAGCCGGAACAAUAAGAGUCUUAUGUUUAUAUUUGUACAUGCUAUUUGAUGUAAUUCAAACAAGUUUCAGAAAAAGUUCUAAACUGAUGUAAUCGUUUUCAUUUAAGUAUUCACUGUAAUGGUUGUGUUGCUAUGAUUGCUAUUAUUCAUUGGUUAUGAUGCUAUACAUGGUGUCCUACACCCCAGAACGUUUCCACCAUUCUGGUUUUGGGGUAUGACAAUUCACUAGCAGUAGAGAGUGCAAUAAGACUACGGGGGAUCCGUAGCAUGCACUAGUGGUAGAGAGUAUUGUAAGACUAUGGGCGGAGCCGUAGCAUUCACUAGCAGUAAAGAGUGUUGUAAGACUAUGAGGGAGCCAUAGCAUGCACUAGCGGUAGAGAGUGUUGUAAUACUGCGGGGGUGUCAUAGCGUUCACGGAGUCUUUCAGGUGAUCUGGGUUAGGGUAGGCUCGUUCGCAGGAUUGUCGGGGAGCCGCAACUUAGUUAGGAUAAGGACCAUACGUGAUUGACUGAUUAGUUAUCAGGCGGCGAGCCGGGUGGUUAUGGGAAUUCAGGUUGGAACCGGUAGAGACUACUGAGCUAAGAGUUGGACUUUGUGAUAUAGGAUCAUCUGGAUGGGUAGUGCAUGUUACAGUAGGUCUACGUCUAGGUAGCCCUGAUUUUGGAUCUCAUAAGAACUUGGUGGUUGGGAUAGGUGCGAGACUAGAAGUCUCACGGAUCUCUGGAUAGAAGCGGAGUAACAAUUUCGAUUGGAUAGGAACCCGAAUUGGAAAUUUUUGCAGGGUUUUGUUUCAGUAAGAUGGGAUGUGGGGCACCUAUAUGCCAAGGACAUCGAGGGCAGAAUUCCAGGGUGGUGAACGGGUUGGUUUGACAGUAGUUUAAGCUAUUGUGAUGUGUCUCGGGUGGCUCUAUCUGUAAUAAAGCCACGAUAUGUCGAAAUCAGGAAACGGUAGGUCGGACAAGACCGUGUAUGAUGUAAGUCUACAACUAUGCUGGUAGUUUUCACCUUUUGCGUCGGAUUCAGUGGCGACAGCUUGUCAGCCUAUCUCGAUCGGAUGGAUCAAAUGAAUUGAAGGGGAUAUGGCAACUAUGGAUAGACGAGGUAUCCUUCGGAGGUCGCAGGGGAGUGUUGAGUGUGUUUUAGCUCAACAAUCGGGUAGGUGUCCAGUGUUCCGGAUAGUUGGCAGACGGGGUGGGGCCAGGUAGGUCCCCGAUUAUUCUGCUGGAAAGCAGUCAUGUAACAAAAAGAGGAGUAGGAGCGACUUUAGUGGUUUGGGGUUUGUGUGUAAAAUUGCUUGUUAUUAUGUAGUCGUAGUUGAUUGGUGUUUUCGGAUGUUAGGAAGCCUCAAGGCAUUGCGGGUGGGAAGUAUUCUAUUUAGAGUGGUUCUCUGGUGAAGCCAGUUUGUUGAUAAUACAAUAUGGAUAGUCUGUCAAGGAGACAGACCACCUCGAGGCUUCAACUUUUAGAUGAACCAGAUAUGAUCAGGUUGCAAGUAAUUCGGUCAUUCUUGGACUUUGUGUUGCUGAAGGUGUCGCCCUGGAAAGGGAUUAUCAGGUUGCGGAAGAGAGGAAAGAUGGGGCCUUGGUAUUUAGGCCCAUUCAGGAUCAUGACUCGGGUAGGCAAGGUGGUAUAUUUCUUGGAUCUUCUAGAGGAGCUUAUCCAGAUCCACAAAACCUUCCAUGUGUUGCAGCUUCGGAAGUGUGUCACUGACGAGUUUGCAGUCAUUUCAUUGGGUGAUAUUCGGGCGAAUGAAAGCCUGAACUGUAUCGAGAAGCCCGUUGCAAUCCUUGAUAGGAAGACUAAGGUUAUUAUUAAUAAGGAAGUAAGGCUGGUAAAGGUGUAAUGGUAGCAUCGUAGGGGCUCCGAAUGGACUUGGGAGCCGGAAGAGGAGAUGCGAGAGCACUAUCUAGAAUUGUUGGGGUAACAAACUUCGAGGACGAAGUUUAGGUGUUGGUUGGAAAGUUGCGAAAUUGGGGAGGUUUUAUGCCUGGACUUGGCGAGUCGGGAGAUCAAGUCGUCGAGUAGGGGCGAGGCAUUUUGGGCAUGGGUCGGAACUAACUCAGCGAGUCGAAAGGUCCGACUCGGCGAGUUAGAGUUGUUUAGGGAAAACCCUAAUUUCGGGGUUUUCCCCCUAUAUAAACAUCAUUUUCUGCCCCAAUGGCCUCCCUUAUCAUCAUAAGAGAUCGUUUACGACCGCAAACACUUGGGUGAGUGAAGUAAGAGCUUUGGGAGCUUAAACCUUUGGAUUGUGGAAGGAAUUCCAAGCUUGAAGAAGAAGUAUCAAGGGGAAAACUCUAUAUCUAGCAUCUACUUAGUCUUGGGCAUCAAAUUGAGGUAUGAAUCUGUUAUCUUAAGCCUAGAUUCUAUUUGAGAGUUUGUGACCAAAUUUGAGGAAAUGGAAGCAAGCUUAGAUCUGGACCUAUCACAAGGAUAUGGUUCCAGAUUUGGACCUUCUUAGGUCCCAAAUAUCAGAAAGUUGCACCUUUUAUUAAGCUCAUUCCCUCUCCAUGCAUGAAAACCUUGGUUGAAGGUUAGUUUUGGUGUUAUGGCCAUGUGAUGCCUUGCAUGCACGUAAAGUUUGCAACUUUACGUGUAAUCCACACUAGUAGAGUAUAGAUCUGAAGUUUGGGGCCUUGAGUCCCAUUGGAAAAGGCCGUAAACAUAAGGGACUAAAGGGACUUGGCGAGUCGUGCAAGUGACUCGGCGAGUCGAGAGGGUUUUCUUGUUUACGGUCAAGGGUGUUCGGUUGGUGGUUUACAGCCUUCAACAUCAAGGAAAUCGACGAGUACCUUAGGUGACUCGGCUAGUUGAGGAGUUAAGCAAGGAACUCGACAAGUGGCUGGUUGUACUCGACAAGUUGAGGUCAACAUGGACUGUUGACCUUGACAGUGGAUCUUGACUUUGUCCGGGGCUGACCUGAGGGUGUUUAUGGGAUAAUGACAAGUUGAUCACCUGAUGAUUAUGGGCAGUUGACAAGGAGCAGUGUGUGGGAUAUCUGACUUCAGCUUAUCAGUUGAGCAUUCGAUAGGUGAGUCUUCUCACCAAACCAAUGGGUCUAAGGCACCAAGGCCAGCCUAUUUUAUGUUAGAUGGUAUGCUCAUUGUGUAGAGGUGUGUGGCUUGAGUAUGUGUUAAUAUGUGGUAGAGAUAACCUUUAUGGCUAAUGGUAGACAUAGACUUGGUUGCUAACAGUAGAGAUAGACUUUGGGGCUAACAGUAGAGAUAGCCUUUGGGCAACUGGUAGAGAUUGCCCUUGCGGCUAACGGUAGAGAUAGCCUUCGUGGCUGAUGGUAGAGAUAGCUUGAUAGCUAACUAAUAUGUGUUACAUGGUAGACGUAGCUUUUAUAGCUAAUGGAUAUGUGAUAUGUGGUAGAGGUAGCUUUUGUAGCUAAUUGUUCUGUAUUAUGUGGUAGAGAGAGCUUUUAUAGCUAAUAUGAUAUGUGGUAUGCGGUAGAGAUAGCUUCUAUAGCUAACAGGUUAUGUGUUAUGUGUAUUGUGUGUGGGGUAUGCUCUGGGGGACUCACUAAGCUUUGUGCUUACGGUUUACAGUUUUGGUUUCAGGUAUCAUCGAUUUGGAAGUGAAGAGCUUGGAUUGAUCGCAGUGCACCCACCUAUGAUUUCCGUAAUGAAUGAUUUUGGGAUGAACUCUGAUAAAUUUUUUACUUAACGAUGAUUUGAAAUGUUUGAAAUAAAUGGUAUCAAUGUCUUAGCUAUAUUAAAAACGAAAUUUUUACCCUUGACUUUUGGGUCGUUACACGUGUUGUGUGAAAUGAAGAAUAGUUAUGAGAUUCUGAAGGAAUGCAUUGAUGUAUCUGUGUAUGAUGCCGUAAGUAGGAGAUCAGUGGUUGAGGCAGGACAUCGUGAGGUUCUGUGAUGGUGACUGAGGUAUCCGAGUAUGAUGUUCUAAAUUUCGAACUAUUUUUGGACUUGAUUUAUGAGAUGGCGAGUGGCGUAUCAGGUGUCUAUGGUUCCAGUGGGAGCCUUAAUUUCAGCUAAUUGACAUUAAACUGGUUUAUCUGAGAAUGUGAAUUGUAGUGAGAAAAAGUGUUUUCUCCCAACGGUGGUCAUCAGGAGUAGUGAUGUUUAGCCUGGGUGGGUGUGCGUACCUAUCUAUGUUGGGCCACAAAGCGUGAGUUUGUGAAUGCAGUGAAGUAAUAACCUGAGGAUGAGAUUAUGGGGUGAUAAGAGAGGGUGUUGUGAUACCGCGGGGAGUCGUAGUACUCACUAGUCAGCGAGAGGGUUUUGUGAUACUGCGGGGAGCUGUAGUACUCACUAAUCAGUGAGAGGGUGUUGUGAUACUGCGGGGAGCCGUAGUACUCACUAGUCAGCGAGAGGGCGUUGUGAUACUUCAGGGAGCCGUAGUACUCACUAGUCAGCGAGAGGGUGUUGUGUUACUACGAGGAGCCAGAGUACUCACUAGUCAGCAAGAGGGUGUUGCGAUACUGUGGGGAGCCAUAGUACUCACUAGUCAGAGAGAGGUGUUGUGAUAAUGUGUGGAGCCAUAGUACUCACUAGCCAGUGAGAGAGUGUCGUGGUGCUACGGGGAGCCGUGUUAUUCAUUAAGCCAGAGCAUGACGCAGGAGACUUCUUAGGCUUGAGUAACCUUAUUAGAUUGUGUCUUCGGGAACCUGAUGGCCAGACCAGGAAAGAGACAGAGGUCUCCAUAAUGGCUAGGAAUCAUUAUAUUCUAAGUUAGGCUGGGGAGACUGCAAUCAGAAGGAAUCAGAGAAGUGAUGUACGAGUGGGUUGCGGGUCAUGGGUCGCAAGUUGCGUGUUUCAUUGGGACAAGUGGUUCCAAUUAUGUUUCGGACCAGACUCUCAAGUUGAGUUUGAUUCUAGUGGUGUAUUGAGUAGACGGAAUGAGAUUCCGGAUUUAGAGAAGGAUUUCAUUUUGGAGGGGGUAUUGUUUUUCAUCUGGUGUCUUAGACCUGAGUGGGUCAGUUAGUUGGUAUGGAAAAACCGCGAGACGAAUGGGUCUAAUGGGUAGUUGACGAAAGAGGUCUAGGCUGAGACGAUUUCAGUUGGGAUUAUAGUGAUCGCUGGGGUAAAAUGAGCUUCGUGACUUGUGUGUCACAGUGGGCCGAGAUAGUUAUUGUGAGAAGGAAGUCAAUGAGACAUUUUGGAGCAUGAUGGGUAACCUUUGGAGGUUCAAUUGCUGGGUCGAGAGAUGACCUAGUGCUCAGUGUUCAAAAGGGGAUAUCUGAGGAGGGAGCUGGGGUUUAUGUUUGUUAGAUGUCGGAGGAUACUGCUGAGCGAGCAUGUUCUUUUCUUGCAUAUGAGGGUAGGGUGUUGAGAGUUCAUCGUUCAGAUGGGUUUUGUUUACAGGUUAGUGGAUGGGGUCCUUGGUGUGAUGUGAUUUGUUCAUUUCUUUGAGUAUAAUUUGGAUUGUUUAAUAUAUUUGGUUUAAGUGAUCAGCAGCCAAUUUUUGGGUUUUGUCUUGGUUUAUCUGUCACAACGAGAGAAUCGGAGGGCAGUGAGGUAUCGGGGUCUAUUAUUCAAGGAGCAAUUAUCAUGGUAAUAUCUUGAGAGGACGGUCUGGCAGUGAGACAGGCCACUGGAUUUUCCAAAGUCUGGAGAGUCAGAAGGAGUGUGGUAGCAGCAGAAAGGUCCGUCCUAUUCCCGGUUUGGAAGUUCCUGUUUCGAUUUAGGUGUCAAUGGGGAAGAUAUUUGAGUGGUAUGAGAUCCUUCUAGUGGUGUUUUUCGGGUUAUUGGGUUCGAUCUAUGUGUUGUUGUGGGGUGAUUUCGAGGGCGAAAUCAAAUUCAAGUGGGGGAGAAUUGUAACAUCCAAAUUUUCAAGUACACUAUUGCGUAUUUUAAUCUUGAGAUUUAUGGAGAGACUUGACGAGUUGAGGGUCCAACUCGCCGAGUCGAGUCGAGUUGUUCGCAUGGAAUUAAUGAGUGGACUCGACGAGUCAGAGAGCUGACUCGCCGAGUAGGUUCUGGGCAGAGAAACCCUAAUUUCCCGGGGUUGGGGACUAUAUAAGGGAACUUCUGCCCUCAUUCACACCUCACCAGGUACCCUACACCCCUGAGAGCAAAACCUAAUUGCCAUUAGAGCUAGAAAGUGAGUGAGGAUCUAAUUUGAGUGGUUUUGUGCAUCCUUUGAAGAAGAUUUGGAGAGGUUGGUGUGUUUGAUCAAGGAGGGGCUGUAGAUGCAGAGUUCUCCAGUGGUUAGAUUCAAUGCAAAGGUAAAAAGCUCCUAUCUUGACCUUUCCUUGGUGAGAUCUUAGUUUUGGGAGAUUUUGAGGGUUUUCUCUCAUCCAUCUUUUGUAAUGAGUCAUUGGAGCAUAUCAUGAGGUUGAAACCUCAGAUUGGACUGUAGAAGGACUUGAGAGACCAAAGAUCCAAGCUUUAUUGAGCUAGAGCCUAGCUUUUGUGCACCUAGCCCUUGUGGGAGCAUGGUUUGGCUUUGUGAGUCUUAUAUGCCAUGUUUAAACGUAAAUCUUGUAGCUUUACGUGACAAUCGACCCUUAGGAUGGUAGAUCUAGUGUUUAGAGUGAUGGAUCUGCUUUAAAUCGUCUGAAUGAGUAAUCUAAUCGAAGGGAAUCACCGAUUCCAUGGCCUGACUCAACUAGUCGGUGAGGGCUCUCCUGAUGGGUCGAUUGUGCGAUAAGUCGGUGAGUUGGGGGUCAACUCGACGAGUUAAGCUGGACUUUUUGAGACUUAUGUGGAUACGAGGGGACUCGACGAGUCGCAGGAGUGCACUCGACGAUUCGGGUCAAUAAUGGACUGUAGACUCAAGUUUGACAUCUAUUGACCUUGGGGUUCUGGUCAACAUGAGUAAUAGAGACCAUGGAGGGGUAAAAUGGUCUUUUAUCCACUUUGAAGAUUCAGAGAGUGAAAAAAUAGCUUUCGGUUAUUUGAGUCAUGAAAAUAGUAUUAAUUGGAGUUAUCCAUCCUUUGUGUUAGGCGGAGUCUAGUUCAAGAUCCGAGCGCGAGGUCAGUUGCUCACCUGCUUGCGAGGUGAGUCUUCUCACUAUACUUUACCUAGAGUGAUAUUUAUGUGUGACCGGAAGGUCUUAUGACCGGACCGGAGGGUCCAACGAGCCAUGGGACUGGAGGGUCCCAACCAGACCGAACCGGAGGGUCCAACGAGCCAAGGGAUCAGAGGGUCCCACUGAGACGCAUAGACCGGAAGGUCUUACAAUGUUAUAGCCUCGAGUGGCUAAAGCGCUUUCGGGAUUGGAGACUAUGUCUUUAGAGUAUUUGUAGCCCAGUUUAGGGCAGAGGUUGCUUGAGCUUUGCAGUUCAAUCAUGGACGAUUGAGCUGGUGAGGGUGCCAGGGUGCCAGACCUUGAAUGAUAUGAAACCUAGAGUCUGAGGGUGGGAUAUCGAUUUGGGGUACCUCAGGGAGAGAGGAUCAAUUCAAGUGCAUUUAAGGGAGGGUCUCGGGAAGAGACCCAGUAUUUCUAAAUAGGGAUGGAGAGGCCAACAGGGUCGGGGUCGGUGUAGUGCGUGCGAGGAGUAUGGGUUUCUACGAGCGUAACAGGUUGGUCAGGUCAGUAGACAUUAUUCCCUAGGAAGUCAAGGGAAGCCAGUGCUCCAGCAGCUGGUUUGGCGGAUGUGUUAUCGUUUACGAUUCUUUCGGUGGCUAUCGGUUUCUUGUUGCCUGGAAUCUUAUAGUAUGUUGGGUUCGCAUUGUCUUUGGGUUGUGAUUAUGUCAUCGUUUGACUGUAUCUUCGGGGAGUAUCUUACGUCUUUUGCAUGUCAUGAAUCAUUAGUGGGCUAUUGAAGGGUCAUUUCUCAUAUAGCGAGCUCUAAGUGUUCGGUCGCAUGUUGGGUGGUAGUCGAGAUCGGUUCAGGGGCAUUGUGUGUAGGAUUAUGGUGAGGACUUAGCUGGUUAACUCUUUCGUAUUGUUAGGACUCAAUAGUCUUUCCAGACAUGCUGAUUGGCAUUUAGGGACGACUAGGGAAGUGACCCAUUGUUGAGGUUUAUGUUUGGUCAGCAACUCUGAGGGUUGCAAGUGUUGGGUGUAGUAUCAUUUAAAGUAUUUGGGAUCAAUAGUGUUGUUAGGCUUUAGGAAAUGUUCGACAGAUCUUCGGGGAUUGUGCUGUCUUUUGGGAGGGUUGGUGAUGGAACAAUAGCAUUGGUGAGCGUUGGUUGUCAGUGGAUUGUUAGGAGGUAAGAAGGAUUGUGGAAUCCUUCUAUUCUCGUGUGUCAUGAGUACUUGUUGAACAGAAGUGGGGGGAGAAUCAUUCAGAUAUUCAGGAGUAGGAGCUGUUAUGAAAAUAGGAUGCGUUUUGCAUCCCCGUCAGAGAGGAAGGCGGCCCAAGCGGCUGUUUGGUUUGAGGGUUGUGUGAGUUGGGAGUUUGGUAAAACUCCCCAACAUAUGAAUCGUGUCUUCUUGGUGCUUGAUAGCAGAAUUUGGGGAAUCAGGUUAGGGUUCUGGUCAUGAAUUAUGUUCAGUUUGGUUGCUCGGUUGAGUGUGUGCUCGACUCUUUGUGCGUUCGAAUUGAUAGAUUAGGGGUAAGGAAUUGGGCUGCAGUUGUGUUAGGGAGAAGCUACUGUAAGACUGCGGGGGAGCCGUAUCAUUCACUAAUGGUCAGUUAGUGUAACAUCCGGAUUUUCAAUUACAAUAUUAUGUAUUUUAAUCUUGAGAUUUAUGGAGAGACUCGACGAGUUGAGGGUCCAACUCACCAAGUCGAGUCGAGUUGUUCGCAUGGAAUUAAUGAGUGGAAUCGACAAGUCAGAGAACCGAAUCGCCGAGUAGGUUCUGGGUAGAGAAACCCUACUUUCCUGGGGUUGGGGCCUAUAUAAGGGAACUUAUGCCCCCAUUCACGCCUCACCAGUAGACUACACCCCUGAGAGCAAACCCUAAUCGCCAUUAGAGCUAGAGAGUGAAUGAGGAGGUAAUUUGAGUAGUUUUGUGCAUCCUUUGAAGAAAAAUUGGAGAGCUUGGUGUGUUUGAUCAAGGAGGGGCUGUAGAUCCAUAGUUCUCCAGUGGUUAGCUUCAAUGUAAAGGCAAAAAGCUCCUAUCUUGACUUUUCCUUAGUGAGAUCUUAGUUUAAGGAGAUUUUGAGGGUUUUCUCCCAUCCAUCUUUUGCAAUGAGUCAUUGGAGGAUAUCAUGAGGUUGAAACCUCAUAUUGGACUGUAGAAGGACUUGAGAGACCAAAGAUCCAAGCUUUAUUGAGCUAGAGCCUAGCUUUUGUGCACCUAGCCCUUGUGAGAGCAUGUUUUGGCUUUGUGAGUAUUAUAUGCCAUGUUUAAACGUAAAUCUUGUAGCUUUACGUGACAAUCGACCCUUAGGAUGGUAGAUCUAGUGUUUAGAGUGAUGGAUCUGCUUUAAAUCGUCUGAAUGAGUAUUCUAAUCGAAGGGAAUCACCGAUUCCAUUACCUGACUCGACGAGUCGGCGAGGGUUCGUCUCGAUGGGUUGAUUGUGCAAUAACUCGCCGAGUUGGGGGUUAACUCGACGAGUUAAGCUGGACUUUUUGAGACUAAUGAGGAUACGAGAGGACUCGACGAGUCACAGGAGUGAACUCGACGAGUCUGGUCAAGCAUGAACUGUUGACUCGAGUUUGAUUUCUGUUGACCUUGGGGUUCUGGUCAACAUGAGUAAUAGAGACCAUGGAGGGGUAAAAUGGUCUUUUAUCCACUUCAAAGAGUUAGAGAGAGAAAGAAUAGCCUUCAGUUAUUUGAAUCAUGAAAAUAGUAUUAAUUAGAGAUAUCCAUCCUUUGUGUUAGGCGGAGGCUAGUUCGAGAUCCGAGCGCGAGGUCAAUUGCUCACCUGCUUGCGAGGUGAGUCUUCUCACUAUACUUUACCUAGAGUGAUAUGUAUGUGUGACCGGAAGGUAUUAUGUGCUUACUUGAGUUGUGUAUUGUCUGUGUGAUAUAUGCUAUAUUAUGACCAGACCGGAGGGUCUAACAAGCCAUGGGACUGGAGGGUCCCAACCAGACCGGACCGGAGGGGCCAACGAGCCGUGGGAUCGGAAGGUCCCACUGAGACGCAUAAACCGGAGGGUCUUACAGUGUUAUAGCCUCGAGUGGCUAAUGUGAUGUAUGUGGUAUUUUAGGGAACUCACUAAGCUUCGUGCUUACCGUUUUGUGUGUUAUGUCUUUCACGGUCCUAUCAGGAUCGCGUGAAGGCGCCGACUUGAUUUUACACACAUCCGAGUUGGAGAUAUGCCUUUGGAGGAUCCUAGGUUUGUGAUAAACGAUUUUUAAAAUGUGGUGAAAAUUUGUUACUUCUGAGUUUUAAGAAAAUGCGACAUGUGGUUUAUUGUGUUUUAAAAAUGAAAAUUUUGGUCGAAAAUUUACGUCAUUACAAGUUGGUAUCAGAGCCUUGGUUUGAGGGAUUCGGAUGCACCUCCGGGUGUGUUUGAACUCAAACUGAGGAUUUGAGAAGAUUUUCAAAAGAGAUAAAUUUUUCUAAAAAUGAGAAAGAGUUUAAGAGAAAACGAGUUGGAGCAGUGUGUAAAAUCAGCCAGAGCCUGAAUGGUGAUUUCCCAAAAUACCCUUACUUUUAUGUUAUGAGAUAUUAUGCAUGCUAGAGAUAGGCUAGGUAUUACAUAUUAUUUGACUAGAUUUGCCUGAUUUGUGAUGGCUUAGCCUAGGAGUUGCUGCUAUCUAUGAUGUGCUUUUGAGUAUGUGCUGAGCAGAGUAGUUAGAUACCUCGAGAGGUAGGAUUGCUUGAGUCGGAAAUGUCUUUUGAGUUGGGAAUAGAGCAAGAGGAAGUAUAUGCCAGAGUGGCAUUAUGUGUUAGUGGGGGUCAUUCGAUGCCCGAAUGUUGCUUGCUUCAUGCUUUGUGGAACUCUUGGUGAUGAGAGACAGCUACUAAGUGAAUAUGACGAUAUUCAGGAGGUAGAUGGCUGGCAUCAUGAGGAGUUCUUCAGCAGCUGAUGGCAGAGAAGUGUUAGAACCUAGGAAGAGCCUAGGGAGUAAACUUAGUCAGAUGAGUAUGCUGACGGAGGAGAGUAUUCGGUGGAAGGCGAACUUACGUAACAGGAUUGGUGAUCGAGAAGGUUGAACAGCUACUUAGGAAAUCUGGGACGAUCCAUGUGCAAGGUAUGGGUAGAUGUGGCAGGUAGUAUGGGGCUGUACUAUUGAAAGCAGAGAACCCAUACUCGAAACAGAGAGAAUUCCAAAAGUUCUAAGUAGCGGAUUGAGAAGAGAGAACAUGGUUCGAGUACCAUGAUUCGUAGCAGAUUAAGAGGAGAUAACAUGGUUCGGGUACCAUGAUUCAUAGCAAAUCGAGAGCUGGCCGUAUGGUUCGAGUACCAUGACUCGUGGCGGUUAGUUCUUCUGGCUUUACCAAUUAUUUCGUUUUGAUUGGCUAGCCUAAGAUCGGAUGUGAAAGAGUAUGGGGCCGGAGGGCCAUGUUGAACAAGUUUCAACGGAGCAUACCUUGAGAGGGAAAUCGAGUUAGUUUUUGAUGGAUUUUUGGUGGGAUGCUAGUUGGAGUCGCAAGACUCAGGGAUGAGUAGAAGAUGGUGACUUAUGGAUGAUUACGGUCUGAAUUGAGAAAUCGGCCGAUAGAGGAGAUGUCACUUUCUAUGACCAGAGUUGUGCUAUUUCCGUUUCCUGUGAGAAGCAGAAGAGAUAUUGUGACUUUCGGUUUCCGAGCUUGAGGGCAAACCCUGUGGGGUAGCAUUGGUUGCGAUCUUUCACCAGAGUAUCUGGGCGGUAUUUCUACCACAAGGUAGUAUUAUAGUAAGAGAGGAUCAUCAGUGGUGACUGAGAUGAUCAAGGACAAGGAUAUACCCUAUUUGAGUAUAGUAGGGCAUUUGUUAGAAGCAGUGCCAGGUAAUCAAGAGGAGCAUUUUUGGGUCGGUGGCUUUCGUUACCUAAGUUGUGAUCGGCUAUGACAGUGAGGUCUCCUGCUUUUAUGAUUAUUCCCGCUAUAGGAGGCUGAUCGAGGAGUCAGUGACAAAGUGGGUAAGAGUGCAUUAUUUCCGGACCGAGAAUUAGGACUAAGUCAGAACAGUGAGGUACCCAGCAGUGUGUCAGUCUGAGGCUUCAAGAUGACUAGAGGCAGUCACAUUGGGAGGAUUUCGAGAUUUUUGGUCAGAGACAUGAUAUUUGGAGAUUGAUUGGUUCCAUUAGGAAGGUCCUUGAGUGAUUGUGUAGUACGUUUCAAGAGUCAUGUGUGACAUACCUGGUGAAACAGUCUAUGGAAUAGAUUUUUGGCAUGCCAAUCGGUGAUGGUUCGAACCCUGAGUGGGGGAGAAUUGGGUAUUCUAUUGAGGGGAUCAACUAUCCAUUCAAGUGCGGUUAGAGAAAUGGUUAUGGAGAUCUAUUGUGUGGAAACAUGAGCCCAGGGUUACUGGGGUCGAGGAGAGGGCAGAGCGAGAUAAUGCAUGUGGUAUGUGUUAAGGAAAGGAUGAGUGUCUGCAUGGUAGGUGGCCGUCGGUCGAAGACCGUGUGGUGGCUCGAAAGGAUAUUUUCGACGGUUGAGAAUUUUUGGUUCAAUGUAUGGGUUGUUAUAUGCACUUUGGGAAGGGUAGGAGUUGAUAGGGCAAUUAGUUUCCAGUUCGGUAUAGGUAUUCUUGCAUGGGAUUUUGAGCAAUAGAGGAAGGAGUUUCAAAUGUUCGUUAACGUGUUGUGAGUCGUUAAUGAUUCUUCCGUGUUCAUAUGAGAGUUGGAAUAUUUUGGAGGUAUGUGUUGUAACAUCUAGUUCAGGUGUUGGUUGGAAAGUUGCCAAAUUGGGGAGGUUUUAUACCUGGAGUCGGCGAGUCAGGAGAUCAACUCGUGGAGUAGGGUCGAGGCAUUUUGGGCACGGGUCGGAACUGACUCGGCGAGUCGGAAGGCCCGACUCAGCGAGUCAGAGCUGUUUAGGAAAAUCCCUAAUUUCGGAGUUUGACCUUAUAUACACAACAUUUUCUGUCCCAGUGGCCUCCCUUAUCAUCAUAAGAGAUCAUUUACGGCCGCAAACACUUGGGUGUGUGAAGUAAGAGCUUUGGGAGCUUAAACCUUGGGAUUGUGGAAGGAAUUCCAAGCUUGAAGAAGAAGUACCAAGGGGAAAACUCUAGAUCUAGCAUCUACUUAGUCUUGGACAUCAAAUUGAGGUAUGAAUCUGUUAUCUUAAGCCUAGAUUCUAUUUGAGAGUUUGUGACCAACUUUAAGGAAAUGGAAGAAAGCUUAGAUCUGGACCUAUCACAAGGAUAUGCUUCCAAAUCUGGACCUUCUUAGGUCCCAAAUAUCAGAAAGUUUCACCUUUUGUUAAGAUCAUUCCCUCUCCAUGCAUGAAAACCUUGGUUGAAGGUUAGUUUUGGUGUUAUGGCCAUGUGAGGCCUUGCAUGCACGUAAAUUUUGCAGCUUUACGUGUAAUCCACACUAGUAGAGUAUAGAUCUAAAGUUUGGGGCCCUGAGUCCUACUGGAAAGGGCCAUAAACAUAAGGGACUAAGGGGACUCGGCGAGUUGUGCAAGUGACUCGACGAGUCGAGAGGGUUUUCUCAUUUACGGUCAAGGGUUUAUGACCAAGGGUUCAUGCCCAAGGGUUUACGAUCAAGGGUGUUCGGUUGGUGGUUUAUGGUCAUGAACAUCAAGGAACUCGACGAGUCCCUCGGUGACUCGGCGAGUUGAUGACUUAAGAAAGGAACUCGAUGAGUGACUGGUUAUACUCGACGAGUUGAGGUCAACAUGGACUGUUGACCUUGACAGUGGAUCUUGACUUUGUUUGGGGUAACCUGAGGGUGUUUAUGGGAUUAUGACAAGUUAAUCACCUGAUGAUUAUGGGCAGUUGAGAAGGAGCAGCGUGUGGGAUAUCUGACUUCACCUUAUUAGUUCAACAUUCGAGAGGUGAGUCUUCUCACCACACCAAUGGGUCUAAGGCACCAAGGCCGACCCAUUUUAUGUUAGAUGGUAUGCUCGUUGUGUAGAGGUGUGUGGCUUGAUUAUGUGGUAGAGAUAGCCUUUGUGGUUAACGGUAGAGAUAGCCUUUGUGGCUAAUGGUAGAGAUAGCCUUUGGGGCUAACGGCAGAGAUAGCCUUUGGGCAACUAGUAGAGAUAGCCCUUGAGGCUAACGGUAGAGAUAGCCUUCGUGGUUGAUGGUAGAGAUAGCUUGAUAGCUAAUUGAUAUGUGUUACGUGGUAGAGGUAGCUUUUAUAGCUAGUGGAUAUGUGAUAUGUGGUAGAGGUAGAUUUUGUAGCUAAUUGUUCUGUAUUAUGUGGUAGAGAUAGCUUUUAUAACUAAUAUGAUAUGUGGUAUGCGGUAGAGAUAGCUUCCAUAGCUAACAGGUUAUGUGUUAUGUGUAUUGUGUGUGGGGUAUGCUCUGGGGGACUCACAAAGCUUUGUGCUUACGGUUUACAGUUUUGGUUUUAGGUAUCAUCUAUUUGAAAGUGAAGAGCUUGGAUUGAUCGCAGUGCACCCACCUAUGAUUUCCGCAAUGAAUGAUUUUGGGAUGAACUCUUGUAACAUCCAUAAAUUUUACACCAAAUUUAAACUUUUUUUUAUCAUAAAUAAAAAAAUCAAAUAGCAUUGUUCACAAAAGUGUUUUCAAAUUAAUAUCCAUCAGAGUGUACCAAAAUCAUAACAUAAGGAUGAGGAGCCGUACUGUCACACCUUCACCUUGCCAUGAUCCCCUGGAGUACCUGGAACAAUAAACUGAAACUGUAAGCCCGAGGGCUUAGUCAGCUACCCCCAAAAUACCAAUACCACACUGACAAUGCCAUAUCAGUAACACUCAAUCAAUCAACAUGCAUACUGGCCAUCUGCCUGACUGGACCGCCCUACUGGGCCUACAGUCUAUCUGAAUCUAUCCCGAGCCUUCGGCAUGACUGGUCCGCCUCGUGGGCCUGCAGUCUCCCUGGACCGCUCAUAGGGUAUGUUGGCCUUCAGCACAAAGCAGGACCGCGUCAACCCAACCAACAAGCAAAUAACCAUGUGCGCAUAACUAUCAUAUACCGACAUAUACAAACAUCAAACAUAUCUAUCACAGUGAUCAUCAAUCAUAGAAUUCUCUCGUAACUAGAGUACCGACCUAGCAGGUCACUAACAUAUCAGUCCUUAUGGAUCAUAAGAGCAUAACAUAAUGUCUAACAGAUCAUAACCACAUGUAGCAUACGAUAAUAUUAAUGACUAAAAGGCCGGCCUUGGUGCCGUAGACCCUAUCGAUAUAGUGAGGAUAACUCACCUUCCAAAUGUCGCCUCGGAAGAUAAACUCCAACCAUCGGAUCACUUGACACAGGCGCCACCACCUAUGAUCAUAUUACAAUAUACUCAUAAGUCCUUAACCUUAUAAGGUACUCCAUAACCCACCAGUCAACCCCUGGUCAAUGUAAAAGUCCUCAUUCAAGGUCAACAGUCCAUGUUAACCCCAACUCGCCGAGUACCCUCGGCUACUCGCCGAGUUCCUUGAAGUACAAUCCAACUCGCCGAGUCAUCGGGUGACUCGUCGAGUUCCUUUGAUUCUCGAUCAAACUUUAAGGCCACCCAUCGAGUUCCCUCCUCGCAACUCGACGGAUACACCCACAUAGAUAUUAUAGGGAAUACUCAUCCGACAAUCUGAGUUGUUCGUCAACUCGUCGAGUCUUAUGGUAAUCUUCAUCGGAAUCGCCGAGUUGCUCAUCCAACUCGUCGAGUUCACGGCCAUCUUCAUGUGACUCACCGAGUCAACCUUACGACUCGCCGAGUCCAUUCAGUCCUCUUCCCAUAAAGACUUCUUUUGAGCCAUGCAACGACUCCAAAUCACUGAUCCAAGUUUCUAGGGCAUGCUCAUCACGUAAAGUUGCAAACUUUACAUGCAUGCAUGGCUAUAAAGGCUCUAAAUGCCUAUUUUAAGUUCUUAAUGGAAUUUCAUGCUCAAGGGGGAUCUUACUCAUGACCAAAACUAAAACUUUAUGCUUCUAGAAUCCAAGGAGGGUCCAGAUCUGAAGUUACAACCUUAGAUCUAGCCUAUAGCUCCUCUUUCCAACUUAUUAACUCACCAAAAACCCUAAAACUCAACCAAUAGAAGAGAUUCACAAGGAAAAAGCGAUGUGGUUACCUCCAGAAGAUGGUAACUGAGAUGAAAGUUGAUUCCCACACUCUACUUGCUCCAAUCUCCUUCUCCCCUAAGCCUUCUCCAUCCAAAGAUCCUCUUUUCAUGCCUCAAACACACAAUGGGCACAUACACAUGCGUAUUAGGGUUUUAAGGGGCUCUUAAAGACUGCAAAGAGGCCAAAGGAGGCUGGGGCUCCUUUAAAUAGAGGUGCAAACCCCAGGAUUUAGGGUUUCAUCUGCCAACUCCUACUCGCCGAGUCCUAAUAUGGACUCGUCGAGUAGGUCACUUAACACGCGCUCCCACCCCGCUGCUACUCGAUGAGUAGGUCAACCAACUCGUCGAGUAGAGCUUAUCCCAAUAACUCUUAUUUAAAAAUACCUGAGAAUCGGGGUCCGCUGGAAUAAACAAUUUCGGGUAAUGCUCUCGCAUCUCCGCCUCCGGCUCCCAUGUCCACUUGGAUCCCUUCCGAUGUUCCCACUGUACCUUUACUAAAGGUAUUUCCUUGUUCUGUAAAAUCUUCUUCUUCCUUUCGAAAAUAGCCACUAGCCUCUCCACAUAGUUCAGGCGCUCAUCGACUUGAAUGUCAUCCAACGAUACCACUGCCUCCUGGUCCAUAAUGCAUUUUCGCAAUUGCGAAACAUGAAAUGUGUUGUGGAUCCGGCUAUGCUCCUCCGGAAGCUCUAGCCUAUAAGCCACCCUGCCAACCCUGGCAACAAUCCUGAACGGACCAAUGUAACGGGGACCCAAUUUUCCCCUCUUCCUGAAGCGGAUCACGCCCUUCCAAGGUAAGACGUUCAGGAGAACCAUGUCACCCACCUGAAAUUCAGCUCAGAUCGGCGUCGGUCGGCAUUACUUUCCUGUCGACCCUGAGCGGUCUGUAGUCGUUGUCUAAUCUGCUGUAUCAUCUCGGUAGUUUACAGAACUACCUCUGUCUGCCCCAUCACCCUGUGCCCAACCUCGCCCCAACAGACUGGGGUCCUACACUUCCGCCCAUACAACAGCUCGAAAGGUGGGGCGCCAAUGCUGGAAUGAUAGCUGUUGUUUUAGGCGAAGUAUGCAAGCGGUAGUUGGGAAUCCAAACUCCCACCGAAAUCAAUGACGCAGGCCCUCAACAUAUCCUCGAGGGUCUAAAUGGUCCGCUCAAUCUGCCCAUCAGUCCGCGGAUGGAACACCAUGCUAAAAUGCAGACGCGUACCCAGUUCCUCAUGGAACUUCUGCCAAAAACGGGAAGUAAACAUGACAUCUCGAUCGGAAGCGAUAGAAACUGGAACCCCAUGGUGAGAGACAAUCUCUCUGACAUACAGGUUGGCUAACUUCUCUGCCGACGAACUCUCCCAUAUGGCUAGGAAAUGGGCACUCAUGGUCAAUCAAUCCAUUAUGACCCAUAUAGCAUCGAACCCCCUUGCCGUCUUCGGCAACUUCGUGAUGAAAUCCAUCGCGAUCCGUUCCCAUUUCCACAUGGGAAUCUCCAGAGGCUGCAGCUUACUAUGCGGCCUCUGAUGUUCGGCCUUGACCAUCCUCCAAGUCAAGCACCUCUCAACAAACCAAGCGAUAUCUUGCUUCAUGCCGGGCCACCAAUAAAUCGAACUCAAAUCACGGUACAUCUUGGUGCCUCUCGGGUGAAUCGAAAAACGAGACUUAUGAGCCUCCUCCAUCACUGUUUUCCAGACCCCACCAGACAUUGGAACCCAAACCUGACCGUAACGGGUCAACAAUCCGCGGCUAUCUUGAACAAAUCGGGCGCUUUCUCUCUUAAUCUUCUCCAUCUUCCAGUUCUAUGGUCUCAUACCCUCAAUCUGAGCAACCCUGAUCAAACCCACCAGCAGGGAAUCCAGCGCUAUCCUCAAACACUUGGCUGGGGUCGAGGACCCAGCUGACUUACGGCUCAGAGCAUCCACAACCAUGUUCCCUUUACCAGGAUGGUAAAGGAUCCCGCAAUCAGAGUCCUUGACCACAUCCAGCCACCUGCGCUGCCUCAUGUUCAGGUUCGGCUGAUCCAUGAUGUGUCUCAAACUCUUGUGAUCCGUGUAUAUAGUAUAACGGACCCCGUACAUAUAGUGCCUCCAAAUCUUGAGAGCAAAAACCACUACUCCCAAUUCAAGAUCGUUUGUAGGGUAUCUCGUCUCAUGCGGCUUCAGCUGCCGUGAUGCGUAGGCUACCACCCGUCCUCUCUGCAUGAGGAUAGCCCCCAAGCCUGUGAUGGAUGCAUCACAAAAUACCACAAAAACCUCCACUCCCUCGGGGAGUGUCAACACCGGCGCCUCGCAUAAACACUCCCGAAGGGUCUCAAAAACCCUCUGCUGCUCAGGGCCCCACCGGAAAUCCACCCCCUUCCUCGUUAGACGAGUGAGGGGUACGACAAUCUUGGAGAAAUCACGAAUGAAUCUCCGAUAAUACCCUGCUAAACCCAAGAAACUCCUGAUGUCUGAGGGNUGGUUAACGAGAUGUCUGAGGAAUUGGACCUCUCGUAACCAAAACUCGCAUUUCGAGAACUUGGCACACAGCCGUUCUCGCCUCAGAACCUCCAGUAGCUCCCUUAGAUGCUCUUCAUGCUGCUCUUGGGUCUUGGAAUACACCAUGAUAUCUAUUAGGUCCAGUUUAGUGUUGCGUCUUUGGGCUCGUUAGCUAGUCCAAGUUUUGUCUCCGGUAUGGGCCUGUCCAUCCGUGAGUUUUGUUUAGGGUUUAUUAUAUAUAGAUGCUUGCAUGCAUUCUUAACGUAAGAUUGAUAGAGAUUUGAUAGCGUACAAGUUCUUAUCUUUUGUAACCCUAGAAUCCUCUACAGCGGAAGUUCUUCAUCGAGCUCUGCUGAGGAUUGAGUUAAUCAAAUCAUUCGACACAUUCAGAUCCAUACUUGUGUUUUUUUUUAUUACUGUUUCUGUUUUAUUUAUUUACCUGUUACAAAGAUCUAAUCGAUCAAAGAGUUUUCGAACUCAUCAGUUGGUAUCAGAGCGGGAGGCUGUGUAAUUCAUACACAUCUCUUCUGUGAAAGAAGCAAUUAGGGUUAUUCCACAUUAACUGAUAUUUAUUGAGCCGUCACUCCAUAAUUGACGUAUCUCUUUAUUUAUUCGUUUUCCCUAAUAUUACAUAUUACAAGUCUGAUCUUUCAAACAGGUUAAACGAUCAAGCAUGGACGAUUCUCAAUCUAAUCCUAUCAACAUCUCAAACAACAUUGGAUCAACGACGAAGAUUCCUAUUCUAUACACCCAGGAUUACGAAGUUUGGGCUCAUCAUUUUGAAGACUAUGUCAUCGGAUCUGA